CUUCUCCCUCAUUCACUUGCUCCCAGUAAUUUUCAUUAAUUGUACCAUCCGCAGCUACUUUAUAUCCUACCCCCAUUCUGUACUUAUGUUUGUGAACAUUUCUUGCCAUAGCAAUAGUCUGCUCCACAAAAGGUUCCCAUGAUAAGGUACCGUCCAUAAUCACAUCUCGCCCUUUGUUUAGAGCCGCCACUAGUAGAGAUGAUGCAGCAUCAGUUGAAGAUUGAUGCACCUGCUCAGAUUUUGAAAUGUUUAGAUCAUACAUUGAUCAUAGUAACAUUGCAUGAAGGUGAUCUUGUUCAGAUAGCAGCUUACCAAUUCAGCAGUUUGAAGCAUGUCAUCAUGGUGACCCCUUGAGUUAAGGGCUUUAUAUAUAACAUCAUUCUCCUUAAAAGCAUCUGCCUCAACAACCACUGCCUUUGAAGCUGCUCCCAACCAAAAUGAUCUGCCAAAGCCAUAAUAUUUAUUUUUAGGCAUAAAAACAAAGUUCUUACAUCUGCAAAGUACAAAGUAGGCAUGUAUGGUUCUUUUAAUACUUAAAUAUGCAUGUAUAGUUUGAAUAAUCCUAUUUGCGAGACUCGUGCAUAUAGGAUGGAUCCUAUUUAUGACACAGGCUUGGAUUGUUUACUGUCUCUCCAGCCGCACCUCAGUAGUUGGAUUGAUCCAAAGUCAGACAUUAAAUCCAACAAUCAAAUUGAGGUGCGUCUAGAGAAACAACAAUUGACUAUUAAAAGUGAAAAGAUAGAUUUUGUAGAAUUAUUAAACGUGGGAGAGUAGAAUUAGGAUGGAUAAUUACUCUUUAAGAAUGUCUUUAAGAACAGUGCUCUUUCCAGCUCCCAUGCCACCACCCAUGAACAGUAGAACUGGAUUCCUCUCACUGAGGGGCAUGGGGACCAUGACUUCUUUGGUUUGAGAAACACCACCAUUUAUUACUUUCAUCUCUUCGACCAAAGUAGAGAACACUCUUGUCACCUUCAGAUUCUUGGUUACUCUCUCAAACCUUUGUUUCCUAUAAACAUAAACAUCACUUACUUAGUGUCAUUUCCCCCUAUAUUAAAAACAUGUUAGUUCCUUUGAAGUGUUUUAACUCUAUAAUGAUUUGAACUUAAAUUAUUUGAAUCAAUGAUGAAAAUAUUAAAUGAGCAAGUUACCUUGUAGCUGCCAAUAGAAUUUCUUUCAGCUUCGUUUUGUGCUGAGACUCAGUUUUCAGUAUCUAUUGGUCAACGAAAGAGAUACUCAAUAAUAUUUUUUGGCAAAAGACAUACUCAAUACUUAAUUGAAGAGAAAAAUAUGUAUCAGAACAUAACAUAACAAAUAAAAAAGAAUAAAUGGAGAAUGAACCUGACUAAUAACAAAUGGAGCUUGUUUCCAAUGAAAUGCAAAAUAACUGAGGAUGCAUUUCUCAAACUCAUUAACCAACUUGACAUAGAGAGAUUCAUAGUCCUUUUCAUUGCCAAGAUAUUCAAAGAUGCUUUGAUCACAUCCUUUGGAUUUUUGUAGAUAUUCUUGGGCAAGUUUGCAUAAUUCUGGCACCUCACUUGCAUCUUCAAAUCCUAUUUGCCUAGCUACCAACACACAAACACACAAAAAAAAUUAAAAUUCUGAAUUUGAUCAAAUAAAUAUUCAGCUGCAUUUCAUCUUUCUGAUUUUCUAGAAUAUGCAAUUUUAAUAUCUCAUUGUAGGGAGGGCCAGAAGCCUACCUACUAGAAUAUGGCAAAAAUCCUAAGAACAAAAACACUGACAAGGUCAUUCUUUAAUCUUUACUAAAGAUGGCAAUAGAUAUGCACAAAGAAUUAUUUGUUAUUACAUUCGUCACGAAAUAUAAGAUCAUGCUGAUUGAAUCACAAAGAAUUAAAAAUAGUUGCUUGUCAUAUUAAAUUCGAUGACAAUUGAUAUUGUUUACAAAUUUACUCUAAAGAAUCGAGAAUUAGUCAAUAUUUUUAUCAAAGUAUUACAUACUGCAAAAAAAAUAUGUAACUUAAUUAAGACUAUCUUGGUGAAUAGAGACCUUACAUUUUAAAUAUUUAUUUAGUCUCACCUAAUUUUUAUAGACUAAAGUUGAAUAAAACUUAUAUUAUAUAGGACACAGUCAAGCUUUGAAUAUUUGAUAGGAACUAAAAAUAUAUUUAAUAAAAAAUUCUUUAAAACAACUUUUUUUUAGGAAUUCAAAACAAUUUAUUAUUAGGUCGAGUCGCUUAUCUGACGUAAAUUUGAUUGGGAUUUGUUCGAUUUAAAGUUUUUUUUUUUUUUUUUUGAGGAAAAAAGUUAAUUAAUUUUUUUAACAAAUCUACCUAAACCUACCUAAUCCAAUUUGCAUUUAGUUAAUUUAAAUGAUGUGAAUUAUCUUUCUUUCAAUAGUUAUUUUUUAAAAAAAUAUAGUUAAAUUAAAUGUUUUCUUUCUUUCUUUCAUUCUUGUAUUUUUUUUUUUAAAUAUAACAUUUUAUGUGGGUGGAGUUUUGAAACUCAUAUGAACAAGGGUAGAUUUUAAAGCCUAAAAAACGUUAACAUAAAUAUUUAUAGAUUAUCCACUAAUAAAAUUCGGUGUUAAUGCGAGUUGAACUCACGCCCCAUAAUAUGAGAAUUUCCUUUUGAAGAUUUUAUUUUAUUUUUGCGAAACUUUUUAUGGUUCUGUUUUCUUAUUCAAUUUUUUCCUUACACUAUUUUUUUUCUUCUUCUCCUCUUUUGACUAAUACACCACUUGAGUUUUGAGACAAUCAUUUUGGUGAAGCACAUCUUAUCUUAUCUACUACUAGCAUUUAGCAUAACAACAUUGUUUGUGUUGUAAAAUAUUUGUGAUAGUCUUUGUCACAGUGAGAUUGAAAAAGAAAGGACAGUCACAGUAUACUAGCUUGCAAGAAUCCCCAAAAAAGUGAAACAUUACAUACCAACAUAGUGGGAGAACUUUUCUAUCUUUUCCAAACGACCAGAUUCUGUUCUAUCAACGUGAGGAAUGAUCUUAUCAUCUGUCACCACCGUGGACUCUUGCUUCCGGUAACGCGAGGCAGCAGCCGCGGCAAUCAAACCGGCAAAGGAGGCAGCUAGAACAUGUGUGAGCCGGAUGGCUUUACCAAUACCAUCUGAAAAACAUUAUGAACCAAAUUGAAUUGAACAUAUGCUUAGUAUUUUAUUUUUGUGAAUGAAAGAAGAAUAAAGAGAGAAAAAUUAAAUACCUUGCUCCAUCUUGUUGGAAAUUCACAGUCACAACUCACAAACACGACUACUAAAUGACUAGAGCCAAAGAAGAAGCUGUUGCCUUGAUUGCUACUUCUAGCACACAAAUCAAGUGGUAUGAAAUCAUGAAACAACUCAGCAUUUCUUUAUUAAAUACUCAUCCAUAUUUCAUCUACUUGAUAUAUUAAAUAAAGGGUUAAUUAAGUUUUUAGUCUCUAUAAAUAUUCACAGUUUUGUUUUUAGUCCUUACAAAAUAAAAUCACACUUUUUAGUCUCCGUGACAUUUUCCUUAAUAAUUUUAAGGACCAAAAAUGCUGAUGGAAAAUUUUUAUAGGGACUAAAAAUGCUGAUGGAACAUUUUUAUAAGGACUAAAUAUGUUGAUGAAAAUUUUUAUAAGGACUAAAAUGUGUGAUUUUAUUUUGUAGGGAGUAAAAACAAAACUGUGAAUAUUUAUAGAGACUAAAAACUUAAUAAACCUUUAAAUAAAUGGAGUGUUAAAGAGAGUACACCUUAUCGGCUAUUGAAAAACAUAAAGCUUAUUUACUUUUCGUGGUAUAAAUCACAUUUUGUUGUUUAUCAUUCCAAAUUUUAUGAUUGGUGUCAUAAUCCAUUUUUAUGUUUAGAUGCUGGUUAAUUGUUAUUAUUUCUAUUUGAGACUUAAUUAUUGACUAUCCUCUUUAACACACCUUGUGCUGGAGGAAUAUAUUGUCGGUUUUAAUAUAUCUUAUUUUGAUUUGUUAAAAAAAAGUGGAGUAAUUAAAAUCUUUGAGACAAUUUUUUUAAUGAAUUUUUUAAGACAAAUGUUAAUUUGUAUCCUAAAUGACACAUGUUAAGAAACUCGUUAUAGAAAUACAUAUAUAAAAAAUCGUACAUUAAACUUCUAAAAAGUAAAACUAUCAUUAUAAAAUUGCCCUUCUUAGAUUGUUUAACAUGACACAUUCUUUAAUCAAUACCCAUCAAAUAAAACUAGUACAUCGAUCCCCGUGAGCUUAGCUCAGUUGGUAGGGAUAUUGCAUAUUAUAUGCAGGAGUCGGGGUUGGAACCCCGGACACUCCACUUCUCCACAAUUAAAUUGUGUGAGCUCUAGCCAUUAGGCUACUCGACAAAAAAAAAAAAAAAACUAGUACAUCGACUGGAUUAAUUACGUGGACCGUGCCAACAGAAGAUUUGAUUGAACUCCAACUUAGAAUGACACAUUCACAUUUAAUAUUAUUUUAAAUAGGAUUAUCUUCUCCCGGAGAUAUUUAAGAUUUUUUUUAUUAAGUAUACCUUAUCCAACCUGUUUUCAACGUUUAAAAGUAUUUUCAUCGGCACGUUUGUGUCUGAAUCAUAGCGUACCUUAGGUGAUAGUUGAUAUCAUAUGACGGGGACACAGUGUUGGUAGGUAAAUGGUAAGGUUUUUGUUAACUAGUAUCCUUAAAGAAAUUUAUAAUUAUAAAAAUUGUCUUAAAAAUAUAAACUAUUAUUUUUUAUUAACUAAUUAUUACAUCAUUUUUUGAUAAAAUUUUAUCUCUUUUAACUGCUUAAUCAAUGCCCCAGAGAUACUUGGUUAACAUUGUCGAAAGAAUAAAUGCAUAUUAUUCAUCUGAAAACAAAUAGUAUUUUUUUAUUGAAGACAAAAUGGCCGUGGCAUGCACUUACAUAUCACAACUAAUAUGAAUCAUUUGUCAAUAUUUUGGUGGUGGUCGGAAUUUUAAAUCUCAAAUUUUGUAUCUAUUAUUAUCUUUACCAACUGAGCUAAGUUUACGAGUACAAUUAUUUAUCAAUGUAUAAUAACUAAUGUGAAUCAUGUAUUUUAUAGUUAUUUUUAAAAUGUAACUAUAAAAUUGGUUUACAUGUUUUAUUUUUAACAAAUGUGUCAGCAUAUUAAAUUGUUAUUAGAUAUCAAAGAGCAAAUGGCAAAAUAUUUCUACUUUAAAAUGAAAGUUGCAGAGAUUAUAACAUACCACACGUUACACGAUUAAUAUUUUGGGUUCUUUGUACACAACGUCAGCGAAAUACAAGUAGAUUUAAAUCAUCAAAUUUAAGCUAGGUAAGUGAAGAAAAAUCUUAGAUGUUUUUUGUGACUAACUACGAUUCAAAUUGAAAGGAAAAUUUUAUCGGACAAUUGUAAGAUCUGCAAUGUUGUAGAAACAAAGUAUUAUGCGGUGAACAACCAACACGAGAAUAAAUUAGUGUAGUGUGUUGGAACAAAAUGUGUUUAACAUUACCCUUUAAGGAUUUUGAUGAUAACAAGGUAUUAAAAAUUGUCAAUUGGAUAUGCUAAUAUUUGUUCAAGUGUGCAUGACCAUAGACAAAAAUUUGAAAUCAUUAUUAGGUUAUAGAAGAACAGAAGAGAGCAAAGGAAUCAACAAAAAUGAAGCUUAAGGCGUUUGAAGAGAAGUGCUCUUGAAGACAAAAGUGCUCCUGAAGUGAUGACAUUAUCAGAAGCAAGUUCAUCAGAAGCAUCUCAUCAGAAGCAAGAUCACCAGAAGCUAAAGUUCAACAGGAGAUGCAAGACUUAAAGCUUCAAAGGUUGUUCAAUGGAUUUAAUCUCGUCUAAGCAUUGCAGAAGACUGGAAGAGUGAAGCAACGACUAUUUUAAAAGGAUUUGAAGGCAUUGGAUGCUUGUUCUUUGAAGGGCGUUGACAAAGUACAAUUGUACGAAGUGUACAACCACUAUCUCCACUACUCAGUUUGUGUCUCUGCUACAAGACAAGAAUAACAGCUCUGCCUGCAACAAUGUUCCUACAUACUGGAAUUGGAUUUGAAAUUGAUCCUUCAUAGGAAAAUAAUCAUAUCAGGCAAAAGAUCAUUGGUGAUUGAUCAAAGCUUCAAACGACUCUAUUUUGAUGUGCUGACAAUUCACAACGUCUCUUUCACACCUCUAUAUAAAGGAGUGAAGACUUAGAGAAUGGAAAGACUCAGCAACAAUUUGAAAGCGCCUAAACUCUGUCGAAAUUGUUCUGCAUCAAAAGUUCACUUAUAAUUUCUUAUCAAAGUUCAUAUCUUAGAAAUUCUAGAGUCAUAAGAGCCUGUAUCUGAUUUGUAUUGUGAACACCACUGAUUGUAUAUCAAGUGUUCAACCUCAAACAUUUUUCUUUGUAAUUCUGUUUGAAUUUAGAAGUCUCUUGCAGCUGGACUUGAGCAUUAGAAGUCUCUUGAUUGUGUUCAGAAGCAUAGGAAGUCUCUUGCAGUUGUGCUUGAGCAUUUGAAGUCUCUUGCUAGUUUUAGCAGUGAGCAGUUGUAAUCAGAUAUUACAUUUUAGUGAACUCUCCUUGGAAGUACAAGAGGGACAGGACUGACUUCCGGUUUGUGGAAGGAACUUGUAUAAUUGCUUUGUGUCUUUCUUCUCUCUCUCUCUCUCUCUCUCUCUCUCUCUCUGUUUUAUCUGCUGCUACUUAGUUCUGGAAAUCACUUCAAAAGCAUAACUAUAUUUGCUUCUGAUCGGUGUUUUCAGCUUAGGAGAAAGCGAAGAAAAAGCUAACACAAUUCAACUCCCCUUCUUGUGUUUUUCUCACUUCAUAGCGCGGAGAUGAAAAUGUAGCGUUGGAUAUGUGGUGAGACAAGAUGAUAGAAUUAGAAAUGAAAAAUGAGAGAGAGAGAGAGAGAGAGAGAGAGAGAGAGAGAGAGAGAGAGAGAGAGAGAGAGAGAUGGUGUAGCACUUAUAGUGAAAAAAAAUGGUUGGAAAAUAGAGUUAGGUAAUUUGGGCAUGUGAAGAAAAGAUCUAUAAAUUUUGUGCAGUAAUGAGAGUAGAUCAGAUGGAGGAUAUCCAUAUCUCUAGAAAUAGAAGAAGACCUGAAAAACAUAUGAAUAAUUAGUAAGAAAGACAUGAUGAUUAAUGAGUUAAAUCAAAAUAUGGUUUAAGAUAAAACAUUAUAACGUAAUUUGAUUCAUAUUAUUGAUCCUACGUAUUGUGAUAAGACUUGUUUUUAUGCAAAUCAAAUCAUGGUUUUCAAAGUAUCUUGAAGAAGAUUCGUCGAUCAACUCAUUUACAUCCAAUACAUAUAGAUUCGUGGAGGCGAAUCGAACCUAAAAUUUAGUGUGAUACCCACUUUGGAGUUUUCUUCAUGCACAACUAAAUGGAGACCCUCAAUUUUGAGGUCUUAAACGGGUUCCACAUUGACACAUCACUUUUUUUUAUAAUUUUUUAAGGCUUAAAUAUGUAAAUCGUCCCUGUAAUUUGGCGUGUUUUUGGUUUUUGUCCUUGUAUCUUUUUUUGUUCUAAAACAACCCUGUAAGUUAAUAACUUUUUGAUUUUCGUCCCUCCCGUCAACUUCCGUUACAAAAACGCAAAUGUGGCAAACGGAGGAUGACGUGGCAAACUUAUUGAUGAGUCACACAGUGAGAGGGACCAAAACCAAAAAACGAAAUUUGUAGAGGGACCAAAGCCAAAAAACAAAAUUCGUAAAGGGACCAAAACCAAAAAGCGAGAAAAAAUAGCUUUCUUCAUCUUCUUCCUUCCACCUCUUUUACAUCUUCAUCAUUGUCUUCAUAAAUUCAUCAAAAAACCCAGGAAAAAAUACUCAGAAAAGAGAUAAAAAAAACUCAAAAUCAUCAUCUCACUCUCAAUAGACAACUUCUCACAAACCCAAACAAAAUCCCCAUUGACAAUGGUCAGAUUGACAUCUCAACACUAAAAUCCACAAUGUUCAUAGUCCCAACUAAACUUUUAUUGAUAAUAUCGAAAUCAAAUUAUAACAACAAAAUCCUCAUUGUGAAUGCUCGAAUUCCCAAUAUUGAAAAAAUUCACAAAACUCUCAAAUUGAAAAACCUAAAGAAUGAUUUUUUUUCAUUACCAACUCUCGUCUCAUCAUUGAUCUCGCAUCUCUGCUGUUUCUUGGUCACUCCAAAUGCUUUCUUCGUCAAUUCUUUGAACUUUAAUAUCAUCAUUUUUGUUUCGAACAUUUGGGUCGUGUUCUUUAUUUCCGGUUGAUUUGGAAGAUUGUUGUGUUAAAUUGGAUUAUAAGAGAAAGGUUUAAGUUUGAUAUGAAUAUUCUUUUCAUUUGAAGUUCUAGAGGGAUAAUAAAUAGAAUUGAAAAAUAUGUUGGAAUGUUGAAUUGAGAUAAGUUUUAUUUUAAAGUGUGUGAAAUUGGAUUGCACGUUGAACAGUGGGUAUAUUGGUUUAAUUUGAUUUUGUUGUUUGUGAGAAGAAAUAAAAGAGAAGUUAUAAUUGAAUGUGUUGGAUUGAGUUUGUUGUUGUUUUGAGUUGAUGGAUUUUUGGAUUUUGAAGUGAUGAAUUUCUGUGUUUGGUUGAUGAUGAUGAUGAAGUUUAUGAAGACAAUGAUAGUAAUGAAGAAGAAGAUGUGGGAAAAAGAUGAAGAAAUAUAAUUAAAUUUGAAUUUUUCGUCUUCUCGUUUUUUGGUUUUGGUCUUGGAAAUAGUCAAGUUCAUCUACAAAUUUCGUUUUUUGGUUUUGGUUUUGGUCCCUUUACGAAUUUUGUUUUUUUUGGCUUUGGUCCUUCUACAAAUUUCGUUUUUUGAUUUUGGUCCCUCUCACUGUGUGACUCAUCAAUAAGUUUUCCACGUCAGGCACUACCACGUCAUCGUCCGUUUGCCACAUGUGCAUUUUUGUAACGGAAGUUGACGGGAGGGACGAAAAUUAAAAAGUUAUUAACUUAUAGGGGUUGUUUUAAAACAAAAAAAGAUACAGGGACGAAAACCAAAAACACGCCAAAUUACAGGGACAAUUUACAUAUUUAAGCCAUUUUUUAAUAAUAGUACAUAAUAGGUACUCAAUCACUCCAAUAGAAACCCUGUAACAAAAGGUUUAAAUGAGACCCACCAAUAAUUUUUUAUCAUUUACAUUUCAACAAAAGUAACUCAACAAUGUUAUUUUAUUAAAAAGUGGUGUGGGGUCCACUUAAGAAUGGGGAUCAUAAGUGAGACCCCGGGUCUUAAGAGACCCCAAAAUUUUUUCCCACAAUGGGGGUACCUAUUUGGUAUCGGGUCUUAAAUGGUGAAGACCUCACCAUUGUGGAUGGUCUAACACCUCUAAUCGUCUUUGUUUUCGUUUUCUUUUAUUCUUGGUUUUUGGAGCAACCCACAACAAAUGUUCUGACAGGAGGCUGCAUAUGUAUUGAACUUUAAAAUUUGUAGUUUGCCUAUAUUGUAUCUGGGCCUCCCUGUUGGAGGUGAUUCUCGUAGACUGCAUUUUUGGAAUCCUGUGGUUAAUUGCACAAAAUCUCAUCUGUCCCGUUGGAAAAGCAAACAUCUUUCUUUUGGUGGUCGUCUUGUUCUUCUUAAGUCUGUCUUGAUCUCUCUCCCUGUCUAUGCUCUUUCCUUCUUCAAAGCUCCCUCAGGUAUCAUCUUCUCUAUUGAAUCUCUUUUAAUUUUUUUUUUUUGGGUGGGUGUGAGGAUAAUAGGAAAAUUUCCUAGACUGAUUGGGAGUCCAUAUGUUUUGCUAAGGAGGUUUGAGGUUAGGAGACUUAGGGAGUUUAAUUUGGCGUUGUUAGGGAAGUGGUGUUGGAGGAUGGUAGUGGAUAAAAAGGGGUUUUGGUUCAUAGUUCUGACUGCUAGAUAUGGUGGGGUUGGGGGGCGACUUCAGUCUUGUGGUAGUUAUGGGUCAGUGUGGUGGAAGGAUAUUGUCUGUAUCCGUGAUGGCAGUAGUUCGGUGUUGGGGAGUUGGUUUUCAGACAACUUACGUCUUAGAGUCGGUAAUGGUGUUAACACCUUGUUUUGGCUGGAUAGGUGGGUGAGUGAUGUCCCCGUUUGUGAGAAAUUUCGACGCUUAUAUAAUUUAUCUGAUAAUAAAUUAGCUACUAUGGCGCAAAUGUUUCAUUGGGGGUGGGAUGUGGGUGGGGAAGCAUGGAAGUGGCGAAGGAGGCUUUAGGUUUGGGAGGAGGAGUUGUUAGAGGAGUGUAUGCUUUUUUUAUUAACAGUUACGUUGCAGGUUGAUUCUGUUGAUGCUUGGAGGUGGACCCCUGACAUAGCCAACGGUUGCACGGCUAGUGGUGCUUACCGCUUGCUCACAGAUACGACGCAUAUCAAUAAUCAGAUUCCGGCUAAGCUGUUAUGGAGGAAGGAUGUGCCUUUGAAGGUUUCAUUGUUUGCUUGGCGUUUGUUUCGCAACCGAUUGCCUUCAAAAUUAAAUUUAUUCCGUAGAAGUAUCAUUCUUCCUGAGGCGCGGAACUGUGUUAGUGGUUACGGUUUUCAGGAAUCUGAAUGUCAUUUAUUUCUAUCUUGUGCUUUUUUCGGUCAUCUCUAGCAGCUGGUUAGAAAUUAGUUUUGUGUUCACUCAGCGGAUCCAUCCCAUAUUUUGGAUCAUUUCAUUCAGUUCGGUUCUUCUACAGGUUACGGUAAAUCUAAAUGCUCUUUUAUGCAUUUGAUUUGGUUUGCUACAACUGGGUAAUUUGGAAGGAAAUGAAUGCUAGAAUUUUCACAGGCACUCAGAGUUCCCAUAUACAACUUCUAGAGAAUGUCAAACAUCUUUCCUUCUGGUGGUUUAAGGCUAGUGUUGUAUCUUUUCAUUAUAGUUUUUACAACUGGUGCCAAAAUCCUUUGUUAUGUGCAGGAAUGUGGCUAAUUUUUUCAUUGUUGUUGUACUCUGACUGUAUUUUGUGAGCGCUUUCUGUGGUACACCUUGUACCUGGAAGUUGGCUCUCUGUUUCAAUAUGUCAUUUUGAUUUCUUAAAAAUAAAAUAAAAAUGUUCUGACAUUAAAUAUCACCUAGUUAUAAUGUUACAUCGACAACGACAAUACGUCUUUAUUAAAUUAUUUUUGUAAAAUAGCCAUUAAAAAAUGUGACAGGUAAUUAUAAUUUAAGAAAUUAAUCGAUUAAAACAUAGAUUAAGGAGUGAAUGGGAAAUGACUUUGUCGAUGUAAACUAGUUUUCUUUAAUAGGUUAAUUGUUCAUCUCUAAUAUAUGUGAAGUCUGAAAAAUAAUUUUGUAAUAAAAAAAUACGGAUUCUACGUAUGUAUGUAAUUUGAGAUUCUUCCUAUUUUUUACAUAAUUUUUUUUUUUUGGGUUAAAUAAGUUUUUCGUCCUUAUAAAAUAUCAAAUUUUGAUUUUAGUCCCUAAAAAAUAAAAUGAGAUGUUUUCAUCCUAAAAAAAAAAUUCUUUUAUUUUUGGUCCUUAAUGGAUAUAAUUUUGACAUGUUUGUGACAUUUUUUGAACAUAAUAUGAAUAUAUAAAGGUUGAACAUAAUAAACAUACAUAAUAUGGAUACAAUUUGAACAUAAAAAAGUUAUAAUUUUUACAUUCACAUGAACAUAAAGUGGUCAUUAAGGACCAAAAACAAUUUUUUUUUUUUUAGGAUGAAAACAUUCAGUUUAAUUUUUUAGGGACUAAAAUCAAAAUUAGCUAUAUUUAUAGGAACGAAAAACUUAUUUGACCCUAUUUUAUUUUAGAGAUGCAGUUCAGAAAAGUGAUCUGAACGUUAAAUUUUUUCAUGAUUUUUUGUAUGUAUAUUUAGGACGUUAAAAUAUGACUUUCCCUGCAAAAAUAGAAUUUUUCAACAAGGAACGAAUUAAUUAUGAAUUUUUAAAACUCCAAAAACUAAAAUAAAAUAAAAUAAUGGAAAUCACAAUCUAGAAAUUGAAUUUUGAGUUGUUUUUACACAGAUACCUCUAUAAAAUACAUAGAGAGGACCUGAAAAGUUUCAUAAUAUUUCAAUCCUGAAAUGUGUCAUAUCAUUUUGAUUACACCUCAAUUAUAUUGAAUUUUCAACCAAAUCGUACAAAAUUGUAAUUUUGUUCCAAGUAAACAUAUACUCGUAGGUCAAAUUGACGUCCUAAUUAACAUGCCUCCAAAGUUUAUUUAAGUAAAAUAAUAUUAUGCGUUCUCAUCAGAUAUCUAUUUAAAGUUAUUUUACAUCGACAAUGGAUCUUCAUUCAAUUAUAAAUUUAAUUACACUUAUUGAAAAUGAUAAAAAAAUCAUUAUAAAUGUAUUAAAGUCUUUUUGAAGGAAAAAAUAUAUAUUAAUGUUAAAUAUUGUAGAUUAAUGUAUUUUUAUAAUUGUCGAUGAAUGUUAGUUUGGUUGGUACACAUAUCCUCCAGGAAUAUAGGGUCAAUUCUCGUUGUCUAGAACUUCAUAAAUAGAUUAUUUGUAAGUAGAUUAAUUAACGUUAACUGAGUCUUAAUAUAUGAGUCCCUAAAUCCUAACUGAAGGUAAAUCGACAUUAACAGAAUAAGCAGCGGAAUAACAUUUCGAUUUACUUUCCUUGGAUCAUUACGAAUUGAAACUUGAACCAGUGAUUCGAUUGUUACCUUAGAACGAUUANAUGGGAUUGACUACUAAUAAUAAUAUAUUAUAAUAAUAAUUACUUAAUAAAAUCAAACUUACUCCUUGAAAAAAAAAAACAUAUUGAUAAUAAUAAAGUAAACAUGUAAGAGCACGAAAAAGAAAACAUGAAGUAAAUAAUGCGAUCAACAACAACCAAUUCGUGAAGAAAAUAAAAAUGACGAGAAUAAAAAAAAUUAAAACCUAGAAAAAGAAAACAAACAUGAAAUAAUGAUACCGAGAGAAACAAAAAACUGAAGUGGGAGAAGGAGUAAAAAGUCUCAAGAAAUCUCAAGGCUAUGUGUGGGAGACAAAAAAGUCUCUUAGGUGUGAGAUUGUUAGUAGGUACAAUUUACAUUAAAAAGUUUCACAAAAUCCAUUACUCACAACAAUCCAUUAAAAUCCUUACAAUUUUGAAUACCAAUAGACAAUUUUUAAGUUGUACAAAAUCUCAAUUGAAUACCACUGGAUUUUAUUGUACUCAUUAAAAAAUCUUGAAAAUCCUAAUUGAAUACCACAAGAAUAUUUUAGAUUCCUUAAAAGUCUUGAUUGAAUACCUAAAAACUUUUUUAAAACAAAAAAGUCUUUUAAAAUCUUUUGAAAUUUCAAUUGAAUACAUCCCCUAAAUUUAUGACAUAAGUGAUAUUUAUAUUUCUCGUAAAUAAUCUUUAUGUGUAAUUUUUUUGGGUACAACUUUUCCCAAUAAUUUUGGAGAAAAAUAAAAAAUAAAAAAUAUAGUGGCAAUGGGAGAAGGAAAUGAGCUUUCCAGUUUUCUAUCCACUAGUAUCAAUCUUUGGCGCUACCAAAAAAACCAGAACAGAGUAAGAAAAAAAACCAGAAUCUUCAUCUUCAAUUUCAAUUUCAAUUUCAAUUUUAACCCAACACCAUAAUCGUCCUUUAAUUUCCACUCUUCAUUCAUUCAUUCAUUCAUGUGAAUAUAUCAUCAUUCAUCAAUGGCUCUUCUUCCCACUCGCCAACUUCACCCAUUUCACACUUCUCCUAACUUCCAUCAUUCUAUCCGUUUCUUCACCACAAUUUCUUCUUCUUCAAUUCAAAAAAGCUUCAUUUUCAAAACACCCACAAAAAAUUUCACUUAUCUUUCUUCAAAAAAUCCCAUUUUUCACCUUAAGAGUUUCUGCACUGAUACAUGGUUAAAACGCUGGAAUGAACAAAAUCGCCCGAAACCGCCUCGCGGGGUUUUGAAUUAUCAAGGUUCUGGAAAUGGGCAUUCAUCAAAAUCUGAUUUUGAUAGCUCUGAUGAUGAAGAUUUUGGUGGUAGUAGAAUGGAUAGAAUUGUUGAGAAAUUGAAGAAAUUUGGGUAUGAAAGUGAUGAAAAUGAGAAUAUAAAAGAAGAAGGAGUGAUAGAAAAAGGGUCAAUGGAGGAUAUAUUUUAUGUAGAAGAAGGAAUGUUGCCUAAUACAAGAGGCGGGUUUUCGCCGGAAUCACCAUUUGGGAUUGGAAGUUAUGGAAGUGGUGAUGGUGGUGAAGUGAGGUUUCCUUGGGAGAAACCAGUGGUGGAUGAAGAAGUUGAAGAGAGGACGAGUUCGAGGAAGAAGAGUAAGACUUCUAUGGCGGAAUUGACUCUUCCCGAGUCUGAAUUGAGGAGGUUGUUGAAGUUAACUUUUAUGAAGAAGCAUAAGACGAGAAUCGGGGGUGGUGGUGUUACUCAAGCUGCUGUUGAUAAGAUUCAUGAGAGGUGGAAGACCUCUGAGAUUGUUAGGCUUAAGUUUGAAGGUGAUGCUGCACUUAACAUGAAGAGGAUGCAUGAGAUAUUGGAGGUUUGGUUUUUUACCUUUUGCUUCUUGUAUAUUCAACAUUUAAUAGUCUUGUUUUUAUUGAAAAACCUGUGCAACUUAGGGGAUUCAUGAAAACUAGAUAGACCAACCCGAAUUGUAUGCAUUUACACCUCAGUGUUUAAAUAUAGGACCUUGUUGACUAAAUCACAGAAAUUAAGAAAGUUGGUAGUACUAUUAAAUUUGUUAGUAAUUGAUAUUAUUUCAACAAGUUCAUCCUUCAAGGUAGAGUACGUUUAUGUUUCCAUCGUAGUAUUUAUUGUUGGUUCAGGGGUAUGUUUGUAAGGAAAUUAUUAAUGCAGUUGAAAAUUCAAAUUAGGUUGUAUAGAAAGAGACAGACAUUUCUCAAGAGGGUCUUAUACUUAGAGACGGAGGUAGUAUAAUAUAUUUAUUUGAAAAGUUCUCAAAUCCAAUGUAGUGAUGCAUAAUUGUGCAAUCUUCUAUGUCGGAUUUCAUAUAUUUUGUAGACAUUUCACUGGAGUCUUUUUCAAUUGUUCUUUCAUACCUGCAUCCUUGACUAUCAAUAACUGUGGCUAUAUUCUUGUUAAUUCUUGAUACUACAUUCAGAAAAAAACUGGUGGUCUGGUGAUUUGGAGGUCUGGCAACUCUGUUUCCUUGUACAGAGGUGUGAGCUACAAGGAUCCUUCAAUACAACAGAAUAAACAGUUAUAUAGGAAAAACGAGAAAUCUUUGAAGUUUCUAUCAGCACCUUCGGAUGAUUUUGAAGUGGAGCCUUCUGAAUUUACUACUGAUUCUGAGACAAAAACAUCGUUGGAAAAAUUGGAAUCUACAAAUGAUCAGAAAGAAAAAGUUAAUCUGCCAAAAAUCAGUUAUGAAGAUGAAGUAGACAAGUUAUUGGAUGGUCUAGGUCCUAGAUAUACAGAUUGGCCUGGAUGUGAGCCACUGCCUGUUGAUGCGGAUAUGCUUCCUCCAACUGUUCCUGGUUACCAACCUCCCUUCAGAGUUCUUCCUUUCGGAGUGAGACCGACACUUGGUUUCAAGGAGGCAACUUCUCUACGAAGGAUUGCUAGGGGACUCCCUCCACAUUUUGCAUUAGGUUUGUCAUCGUUUCUGUUAUGCAGUUAUGCAUGUGAAGUUUAGAAUUUCAUUGUGAUCAUAAAUUAAUCGUGAAAUGUAGGUAGAAACAGGCAGCUACAAGGUUUAGCUGCAGCCAUGAUCAAAUUGUGGGAAAAAAGUUCUAUAGCAAAAGUUGCACUCAAACGUGGUGUGCAGCUAACUACCAGCGAGAGAAUGGCAGAAGAGAUCAAGGUGAUUUAUCAUGUUCUCCCGGUUCAACUAAUAAAUUUUGUUGAAUUGUUUUUGCAGUUUCAUUUUCUUAAGCAAUCUCUUCACUGUUCAUGUAUCCUUGGUAUGCCAUUCACGAAAGCAUAGAUUUUCCUUCUGUUUGAAAAUGUACACAAUUUUUUGCAUCGUUAGUCUGUAGGCAGCCAUUAAGUGGACAUUAAGUAUGAAGAGGAUGAAACCAGUACGCUAUGCAAGUUUGUAAUUCGUAAGGGCUAGGACACUUGUACUGAGAAAUUAAUGCAUCUCAACAUCUGUUACGAUCAGCAUUUCAUAUUUGACUUAAUAUGACACUGUGAUAAACUAAAUAGUGUAGAUUAGUACACAAAAGUCAGUAAGAUAGCCUUUGCAAUUAGCUUUGUGUACGAUGGAAUUCGCUGCUAAAAUCAGAUAUAAGUAUCACGUUAUAGGCUUUUUUUAACACAAACAAAAUAAGAUCAGGUAGUUUUUUAUAUGCAUUUGUACUACACCACUAUGUGAUGAUUUGUAGAUGAAUAUUUUUUUUAUUACCGGAUGCAGAAAUUGACAGGUGGCAUAAUACUGUCCAGAAAUAAAGACUUCUUGGUCUUUUAUCGAGGGAAGAAUUUUUUAUCACCAGAUGUCACUCAAGCCUUGCUAGAGAGGGAAAAAAUGGCCAAAUCAAUGCAGGAUGAGGAGGAGCAAGCAAGAUUGAGAGCGUCAUCAUUGAUCUUACCAGCUAUUAAUACAUCAGAGUUGUCAGCGGAGGCUGGGACUCUUGGCGAAACUUUGGAUGCAGAUGCAAAGUGGGGAAAGACAUUGGAUGAGUGUCACGAGCAAAAAGUUAUGAGAGAAGUAGAACAACUACGGCAUGCCAACAUUGUUAGAAAGUUAGAAGAGAAGCUUUCACUUGUAAGUCCUUUAAGUCUAUAUCUGAGACUGAAAUUGAUUCCCACAUCAUCAACAAGCCUAAAUUUUUUGUUAUAGCUGUUGGGCUUGUUUGAUUUUUUAAUGUGUUUAAUAAGAGUCUUGUAUAGACCCUAGUCAUUCAUCAUUUAAAAUAUUGUAUAUGCACAAUGUUAGUGGUACUUGAGGUUUUGCUAUUCAUUAUCGUCAUCUUUUGGUUCCUAAUUUCACUCUAGGAUUAUUUUCCAAUUUAUAAUUUACAUGAUUAUGAUCCCUGGAUUUUUUGCUUACCAGGCUGAAAGAAAGAUAAGGAGAGCCGAAAGAGCCCUAAUGAAGGUGGAGGUCUCUUUGAAGCCAUCAGAAACCAGAGCAGACCCUGAAAGUAUAACCGAUGAAGAGAGAUUUAUGUUUCGCAAAUUAGGAUUGCGGAUGAAAGCUUUCUUACUUCUUGGUAGAGCUCUAUCUAUAUGAUAUUUUCUUUACUCUAUGUCAGAACCACUUUGAUUCACUUCACCACUUGCUAAGGGUGGGAUGAAAGAAAUCAGAUAGAAAAAGUUUACGUUACAAAUAAAUCUGAUUCAUGAUAAUGAUAUGUGAGGGUGCUUUAGUUGUGGUAUUAAAAUGAAUGUAAUUCAUGAUUGCAGGUAGACGUGGAGUUUUUGACGGUACUAUCGAGAACAUGCACUUGCACUGGAAGUACCGGGAACUGGUCAAGAUAAUUGUUAAGGCUAACAACUUUGAACAUGUAAAAAAAAUUGCACUAGCACUUGAAGCUGAGAGUGGUGGUGUUCUGGUUUCAGUUGACAAAGUUUCAAAAGGAUAUUCUAUACUUGUUUACCGGGGAAAGGAUUACCAGCGCCCUUCAAUGUUGAGACCGAAGAAUCUCUUGACAAAGAGAAAGGCUUUGGCACGUUCAAUCGAGCUUCAACGACAUGAGGUAUGCACACAGACUUAUUUCUUCCUAUCAAAUGCUAAUUGUAAUAUUUUCCACUCCAAUUUGUUGCAUUCUGAUAGAAACUGGUACCAAUUAAUAUAAAAACUGCUUAACAACUGACUUUUAUUGAGUAAUAUCUACAGAAAGGAACAUUGUGCAGGAACUAGGAAUUGCAAGAUCACGGUUCUACCAAGUCUUUGAGAACUUGGCAACCACUUGAUAACCCACUCUGCCUUCCCUUUCCUAUUUAUUCUGAAUACAAUACACACAUAACUAAUAACAUAAUUAAUUAACAAAUAUAAUUACAUAAUACACAAUUAACUGUAGUAACUGUUUCGACCCUGCAAUAACUGACCAAAGUCACUUUUGACUGUUUCAACCCCUCCUCCUGUAUUAUUCCUUUCUCAGAGGUCAAACACAUUCCACUCUCAAUUAGAUAUCUAACAUAAAGUUUAUCAAUUUGGUCCCUAAUACUUCCCAAUCUUUCAUUUUUUUUUUCUUCUGGCAAAACAACAUUUUGUUUGGCUUAGUUUGUUGUGUUCAGUAUGCAUUGUUUAUCCUUAAUGUUAUAGAAAAGCUUUUGUUAACAAAGUUAUACAUAAAUAGUUUAGAUGAAAAAAAUUUAGAAAUGUCAAGUUUUAACUCUUAGAAUUUGGGUUGAGCCUAAUCGACAUUAGAAAACCAGCUUGUAAGGUGAGGGUUGCCAAAUCUCUAUAAACACUACACAGACCAUAUGACAUGUCUAGGCAAUGUGAGACUAAAUCCACCCGUUAACACCCAACACAAUGAAGGUGUUGGAGAUUGCAAUUAAUGCAACCCGAAUGCCGCAAUUAGGCAGCUAGGGGCGGACUGCAAUGAAGCAGAAUUUCCAACAAGGACAUAUAGUGGGUAAAUUGAUAAAGGAUAUUUCAGAUAGAAGGUUUUACUUUAAUUCUUCUUAUUUAUUUCUCCAUCUUGUAAAUGUGCAUAUGUAUACACAUGUUUUUUUUGUUGUUGUUCUUUUCAUGUUCAUAAUAAAUACUCCUUGCCUCAUUCUAUUGACAAACAGGCACUUUCAAGUCAUAUUUCAACUCUGCAAAGUAAAGUGGAGAAGUUAAGAUCCGAAAUUGUACGUACUAUUGAUAGUUACAUUUUUAGCAUCUCAUUACCAUCUAAGCUGUUUAUUAUAUGGAAACCUAGAUUCCUGAUUUUUGUUUGUCUGGACCAAUUUUCACAGGAACAAAUAGAGAAAGUAAAGGAGGAAGGAGAUGAAGCAUUGUAUAACAGAUUAGAUUCGGCUUAUUCUACAGAUGAUGAUAACUCUGAGGUCUCUCUCUCUCUCUCUCUCUCUCUCUCUCACACACACACACACACACACACAUACAUUCACGCACACACUAAGAAUUUAUGACACUGCAUUUCCUUUUAUAUUUGUGUGAAAAUAUGUUAUAUAUGUAGGCGGAGGAUGAGGAGGAAGAAGUUGAGGCAUAUCUUCAGAGUGACAAUGAUGAAAAUGAUAGUGAAGUUGAAAGUGAUGCUAUUUAUUUCCAACCUGAGGAAUUUGCCUCACAAAGUUGAAGGUCAGGGGUCGUGACUUUUUGGAUUCCUGAUGCCUAUGUGGAUCAUCAAUGGCAGUGACACUCGAUUCAUUGGAACAAAGCUGAUUGAUGAAGAAUGUAAUAGCUUGUUCGGACGAAACCACUGAUAAAUUCAUGCUCAAUUCAGUGAGAUCAUAGAGUAUGCAAUUGGACACUGUCCUGAAUGUAAUUGCUUAUACAGUAUUAAGGUUAGUAUAAGAUGUAUGUAUAUACAUUUGUUGGUUAAGUUAACUAGGAUUGAAUACGUCAAGGGGUCUGUUUACAUAUGGUUGAGGAAUAGGACCUUCAUAUUUAUUAGCUUAUAGAAAAACUAUCUGCUGAUUUUGAUGAAUUUUAUUUUAUGAAUUAAAAUAUUCAAUAGAAAUUGUUUUUUCUGUGUAUAACUUCAAAAUAUUCAAUAGAAAUUGUUUUUCUGUGUAUAACUUCAUUUUGAUCAGUACCUUUUCAUUUGUACCAAUUUACAAGUUUCAGGAUGUUGUGAUGGUUUUACACCAAACCCCAUUAAAAAAAAAAAAACUUUUCUUUCUUAUCUUAGUAAAUCACACGGUUGAAAUAAACAAUAUUUUUUUUAUAAUAUCACACUUCAUAAGAAAGUAACACUUGGUUCUGGCAGCAGCCAUAUUGGUCACACUUUUCUGAUGGACUUCUCUAUUAUUUGAAUGGAUUCCCUCAACUCUUUCUGAACACUUGGCCUUGAAGGUGACAGAACAAAGUCCUUCCAAACAGAACCAGGUUCCAUUGCUGGGCUAGGUUCCUUGUAAAGUUCACAGAUGGAAUCAGCUUCAUUAUUGAAACCUGCUACAUUUUUCAAGCUUUUGAUACCUACAGGAUCCUCUAGUAGAUUGUGAUCACCAUCCUUCCAUCCAAUAAGCUGUUUUGUGUGAAAAGAAAAUUAUCUUCUUGACAUUUUAAUUUUAAUACUGCUAGUAAUAAAGUGUAAAUCAAUCACAAUCGAGGAAAGUUGCUCCUGUUUUUACCUUUGGUGGACCACCAACAGCAUCUGUGCAAUAGAGCCUAGCACUGUCAACAAGUUUGCAGUAUUUUGGAAAUGCAUUAGCAAAUCUUUUGUGAGAUUGCAACUGUGAAUUCACCCUCACUGCCCUCCCUGUCAUAAUAGCUCUCCUGUUAAAAUUCCAAAAGGAAAAUGUUAACUGUCAUAACCAAAAAUAACACCACCAAAGUACUACUAAUAUAGUUGAAUUCCAAAAGGAUAGAUAUACACCUAAUGCCUCUAAUAACUGCAAGAUAUCCAUCACAAACCACACCAACUAGCUCAAUUCUGUAAGGCUUUUGAGAGUGUAGUUCCCCUGUAGAAUUUUCCUCUUGUUGAUGUUCUUCUCCCUCAUUCACUUGCUCCCAGUAAUUUUCAUUAAUUGUACCAUCCGCAGCUACUUUAUAUCCUACCCCCAUUCUGUACUUAUGUUUGUGAACAUUUCUUGCCAUAGCAAUAGUCUGCUCCACAAAAGGUUCCCAUGAUAAGGUACCGUCCAUAAUCACAUCUCGCCCUUUGUUUAGAGCCGCCACUAGUAGAGAUGAUGCAGCAUCAGUUGAAGAUUGAUGCACCUGCUCAGAUUUUGAAAUGUUUAGAUCAUACAUUGAUCAUAGUAACAUUGCAUGAAGGUGAUCUUGUUCAGAUAGCAGCUUACCAAUUCAGCAGUUUGAAGCAUGUCAUCAUGGUGACCCCUUGAGUUAAGGGCUUUAUAUAUAACAUCAUUCUCCUUAAAAGCAUCUGCCUCAACAACCACUGCCUUUGAAGCUGCUCCCAACCAAAAUGAUCUGCCAAAGCCAUAAUAUUUAUUUUUAGGCAUAAAAACAAAGUUCUUACAUCUGCAAAGUACAAAGUAGGCAUGUAUGGUUCUUUUAAUACUUAAAUAUGCAUGUAUAGUUUGAAUAAUCCUAUUUGCGAGACUCGUGCAUAUAGGAUGGAUCCUAUUUAUGACACAGGCUUGGAUUGUUUACUGUCUCUCCAGCCGCACCUCAGUAGUUGGAUUGAUCCAAAGUCAGACAUUAAAUCCAACAAUCAAAUUGAGGUGCGUCUAGAGAAACAACAAUUGACUAUUAAAAGUGAAAAGAUAGAUUUUGUAGAAUUAUUAAACGUGGGAGAGUAGAAUUAGGAUGGAUAAUUACUCUUUAAGAAUGUCUUUAAGAACAGUGCUCUUUCCAGCUCCCAUGCCACCACCCAUGAACAGUAGAACUGGAUUCCUCUCACUGAGGGGCAUGGGGACCAUGACUUCUUUGGUUUGAGAAACACCACCAUUUAUUACUUUCAUCUCUUCGACCAAAGUAGAGAACACUCUUGUCACCUUCAGAUUCUUGGUUACUCUCUCAAACCUUUGUUUCCUAUAAACAUAAACAUCACUUACUUAGUGUCAUUUCCCCCUAUAUUAAAAACAUGUUAGUUCCUUUGAAGUGUUUUAACUCUAUAAUGAUUUGAACUUAAAUUAUUUGAAUCAAUGAUGAAAAUAUUAAAUGAGCAAGUUACCUUGUAGCUGCCAAUAGAAUUUCUUUCAGCUUCGUUUUGUGCUGAGACUCAGUUUUCAGUAUCUAUUGGUCAACGAAAGAGAUACUCAAUAAUAUUUUUUGGCAAAAGACAUACUCAAUACUUAAUUGAAGAGAAAAAUAUGUAUCAGAACAUAACAUAACAAAUAAAAAAGAAUAAAUGGAGAAUGAACCUGACUAAUAACAAAUGGAGCUUGUUUCCAAUGAAAUGCAAAAUAACUGAGGAUGCAUUUCUCAAACUCAUUAACCAACUUGACAUAGAGAGAUUCAUAGUCCUUUUCAUUGCCAAGAUAUUCAAAGAUGCUUUGAUCACAUCCUUUGGAUUUUUGUAGAUAUUCUUGGGCAAGUUUGCAUAAUUCUGGCACCUCACUUGCAUCUUCAAAUCCUAUUUGCCUAGCUACCAACACACAAACACACAAAAAAAAUUAAAAUUCUGAAUUUGAUCAAAUAAAUAUUCAGCUGCAUUUCAUCUUUCUGAUUUUCUAGAAUAUGCAAUUUUAAUAUCUCAUUGUAGGGAGGGCCAGAAGCCUACCUACUAGAAUAUGGCAAAAAUCCUAAGAACAAAAACACUGACAAGGUCAUUCUUUAAUCUUUACUAAAGAUGGCAAUAGAUAUGCACAAAGAAUUAUUUGUUAUUACAUUCGUCACGAAAUAUAAGAUCAUGCUGAUUGAAUCACAAAGAAUUAAAAAUAGUUGCUUGUCAUAUUAAAUUCGAUGACAAUUGAUAUUGUUUACAAAUUUACUCUAAAGAAUCGAGAAUUAGUCAAUAUUUUUAUCAAAGUAUUACAUACUGCAAAAAAAAUAUGUAACUUAAUUAAGACUAUCUUGGUGAAUAGAGACCUUACAUUUUAAAUAUUUAUUUAGUCUCACCUAAUUUUUAUAGACUAAAGUUGAAUAAAACUUAUAUUAUAUAGGACACAGUCAAGCUUUGAAUAUUUGAUAGGAACUAAAAAUAUAUUUAAUAAAAAAUUCUUUAAAACAACUUUUUUUUAGGAAUUCAAAACAAUUUAUUAUUAGGUCGAGUCGCUUAUCUGACGUAAAUUUGAUUGGGAUUUGUUCGAUUUAAAGUUUUUUUUUUUUUUUUUUGAGGAAAAAAGUUAAUUAAUUUUUUUAACAAAUCUACCUAAACCUACCUAAUCCAAUUUGCAUUUAGUUAAUUUAAAUGAUGUGAAUUAUCUUUCUUUCAAUAGUUAUUUUUUAAAAAAAUAUAGUUAAAUUAAAUGUUUUCUUUCUUUCUUUCAUUCUUGUAUUUUUUUUUUUAAAUAUAACAUUUUAUGUGGGUGGAGUUUUGAAACUCAUAUGAACAAGGGUAGAUUUUAAAGCCUAAAAAACGUUAACAUAAAUAUUUAUAGAUUAUCCACUAAUAAAAUUCGGUGUUAAUGCGAGUUGAACUCACGCCCCAUAAUAUGAGAAUUUCCUUUUGAAGAUUUUAUUUUAUUUUUGCGAAACUUUUUAUGGUUCUGUUUUCUUAUUCAAUUUUUUCCUUACACUAUUUUUUUUCUUCUUCUCCUCUUUUGACUAAUACACCACUUGAGUUUUGAGACAAUCAUUUUGGUGAAGCACAUCUUAUCUUAUCUACUACUAGCAUUUAGCAUAACAACAUUGUUUGUGUUGUAAAAUAUUUGUGAUAGUCUUUGUCACAGUGAGAUUGAAAAAGAAAGGACAGUCACAGUAUACUAGCUUGCAAGAAUCCCCAAAAAAGUGAAACAUUACAUACCAACAUAGUGGGAGAACUUUUCUAUCUUUUCCAAACGACCAGAUUCUGUUCUAUCAACGUGAGGAAUGAUCUUAUCAUCUGUCACCACCGUGGACUCUUGCUUCCGGUAACGCGAGGCAGCAGCCGCGGCAAUCAAACCGGCAAAGGAGGCAGCUAGAACAUGUGUGAGCCGGAUGGCUUUACCAAUACCAUCUGAAAAACAUUAUGAACCAAAUUGAAUUGAACAUAUGCUUAGUAUUUUAUUUUUGUGAAUGAAAGAAGAAUAAAGAGAGAAAAAUUAAAUACCUUGCUCCAUCUUGUUGGAAAUUCACAGUCACAACUCACAAACACGACUACUAAAUGACUAGAGCCAAAGAAGAAGCUGUUGCCUUGAUUGCUACUUCUAGCACACAAAUCAAGUGGUAUGAAAUCAUGAAACAACUCAGCAUUUCUUUAUUAAAUACUCAUCCAUAUUUCAUCUACUUGAUAUAUUAAAUAAAGGGUUAAUUAAGUUUUUAGUCUCUAUAAAUAUUCACAGUUUUGUUUUUAGUCCUUACAAAAUAAAAUCACACUUUUUAGUCUCCGUGACAUUUUCCUUAAUAAUUUUAAGGACCAAAAAUGCUGAUGGAAAAUUUUUAUAGGGACUAAAAAUGCUGAUGGAACAUUUUUAUAAGGACUAAAUAUGUUGAUGAAAAUUUUUAUAAGGACUAAAAUGUGUGAUUUUAUUUUGUAGGGAGUAAAAACAAAACUGUGAAUAUUUAUAGAGACUAAAAACUUAAUAAACCUUUAAAUAAAUGGAGUGUUAAAGAGAGUACACCUUAUCGGCUAUUGAAAAACAUAAAGCUUAUUUACUUUUCGUGGUAUAAAUCACAUUUUGUUGUUUAUCAUUCCAAAUUUUAUGAUUGGUGUCAUAAUCCAUUUUUAUGUUUAGAUGCUGGUUAAUUGUUAUUAUUUCUAUUUGAGACUUAAUUAUUGACUAUCCUCUUUAACACACCUUGUGCUGGAGGAAUAUAUUGUCGGUUUUAAUAUAUCUUAUUUUGAUUUGUUAAAAAAAAGUGGAGUAAUUAAAAUCUUUGAGACAAUUUUUUUAAUGAAUUUUUUAAGACAAAUGUUAAUUUGUAUCCUAAAUGACACAUGUUAAGAAACUCGUUAUAGAAAUACAUAUAUAAAAAAUCGUACAUUAAACUUCUAAAAAGUAAAACUAUCAUUAUAAAAUUGCCCUUCUUAGAUUGUUUAACAUGACACAUUCUUUAAUCAAUACCCAUCAAAUAAAACUAGUACAUCGAUCCCCGUGAGCUUAGCUCAGUUGGUAGGGAUAUUGCAUAUUAUAUGCAGGAGUCGGGGUUGGAACCCCGGACACUCCACUUCUCCACAAUUAAAUUGUGUGAGCUCUAGCCAUUAGGCUACUCGACAAAAAAAAAAAAAAAACUAGUACAUCGACUGGAUUAAUUACGUGGACCGUGCCAACAGAAGAUUUGAUUGAACUCCAACUUAGAAUGACACAUUCACAUUUAAUAUUAUUUUAAAUAGGAUUAUCUUCUCCCGGAGAUAUUUAAGAUUUUUUUUAUUAAGUAUACCUUAUCCAACCUGUUUUCAACGUUUAAAAGUAUUUUCAUCGGCACGUUUGUGUCUGAAUCAUAGCGUACCUUAGGUGAUAGUUGAUAUCAUAUGACGGGGACACAGUGUUGGUAGGUAAAUGGUAAGGUUUUUGUUAACUAGUAUCCUUAAAGAAAUUUAUAAUUAUAAAAAUUGUCUUAAAAAUAUAAACUAUUAUUUUUUAUUAACUAAUUAUUACAUCAUUUUUUGAUAAAAUUUUAUCUCUUUUAACUGCUUAAUCAAUGCCCCAGAGAUACUUGGUUAACAUUGUCGAAAGAAUAAAUGCAUAUUAUUCAUCUGAAAACAAAUAGUAUUUUUUUAUUGAAGACAAAAUGGCCGUGGCAUGCACUUACAUAUCACAACUAAUAUGAAUCAUUUGUCAAUAUUUUGGUGGUGGUCGGAAUUUUAAAUCUCAAAUUUUGUAUCUAUUAUUAUCUUUACCAACUGAGCUAAGUUUACGAGUACAAUUAUUUAUCAAUGUAUAAUAACUAAUGUGAAUCAUGUAUUUUAUAGUUAUUUUUAAAAUGUAACUAUAAAAUUGGUUUACAUGUUUUAUUUUUAACAAAUGUGUCAGCAUAUUAAAUUGUUAUUAGAUAUCAAAGAGCAAAUGGCAAAAUAUUUCUACUUUAAAAUGAAAGUUGCAGAGAUUAUAACAUACCACACGUUACACGAUUAAUAUUUUGGGUUCUUUGUACACAACGUCAGCGAAAUACAAGUAGAUUUAAAUCAUCAAAUUUAAGCUAGGUAAGUGAAGAAAAAUCUUAGAUGUUUUUUGUGACUAACUACGAUUCAAAUUGAAAGGAAAAUUUUAUCGGACAAUUGUAAGAUCUGCAAUGUUGUAGAAACAAAGUAUUAUGCGGUGAACAACCAACACGAGAAUAAAUUAGUGUAGUGUGUUGGAACAAAAUGUGUUUAACAUUACCCUUUAAGGAUUUUGAUGAUAACAAGGUAUUAAAAAUUGUCAAUUGGAUAUGCUAAUAUUUGUUCAAGUGUGCAUGACCAUAGACAAAAAUUUGAAAUCAUUAUUAGGUUAUAGAAGAACAGAAGAGAGCAAAGGAAUCAACAAAAAUGAAGCUUAAGGCGUUUGAAGAGAAGUGCUCUUGAAGACAAAAGUGCUCCUGAAGUGAUGACAUUAUCAGAAGCAAGUUCAUCAGAAGCAUCUCAUCAGAAGCAAGAUCACCAGAAGCUAAAGUUCACCAGGAGAUGCAAGACUUAAAGCUUCAAAGGUUGUUCAAUGGAUUUAAUCUCGUCUAAGCAUUGCAGAAGACUGGAAGAGUGAAGCAACGACUAUUUUAAAAGGAUUUGAAGGCAUUGGAUGCUUGUUCUUUGAAGGGCGUUGACAAAGUACAAUUGUACGAAGUGUACAACCACUAUCUCCACUACUCAGUUUGUGUCUCUGCUACAAGACAAGAAUAACAGCUCUGCCUGCAACAAUGUUCCUACAUACUGGAAUUGGAUUUGAAAUUGAUCCUUCAUAGGAAAAUAAUCAUAUCAGGCAAAAGAUCAUUGGUGAUUGAUCAAAGCUUCAAACGACUCUAUUUUGAUGUGCUGACAAUUCACAACGUCUCUUUCACACCUCUAUAUAAAGGAGUGAAGACUUAGAGAAUGGAAAGACUCAGCAACAAUUUGAAAGCGCCUAAACUCUGUCGAAAUUGUUCUGCAUCAAAAGUUCACUUAUAAUUUCUUAUCAAAGUUCAUAUCUUAGAAAUUCUAGAGUCAUAAGAGCCUGUAUCUGAUUUGUAUUGUGAACACCACUGAUUGUAUAUCAAGUGUUCAACCUCAAACAUUUUUCUUUGUAAUUCUGUUUGAAUUUAGAAGUCUCUUGCAGCUGGACUUGAGCAUUAGAAGUCUCUUGAUUGUGUUCAGAAGCAUAGGAAGUCUCUUGCAGUUGUGCUUGAGCAUUUGAAGUCUCUUGCUAGUUUUAGCAGUGAGCAGUUGUAAUCAGAUAUUACAUUUUAGUGAACUCUCCUUGGAAGUACAAGAGGGACAGGACUGACUUCCGGUUUGUGGAAGGAACUUGUAUAAUUGCUUUGUGUCUUUCUUCUCUCUCUCUCUCUCUCUCUCUCUCUCUCUCUGUUUUAUCUGCUGCUACUUAGUUCUGGAAAUCACUUCAAAAGCAUAACUAUAUUUGCUUCUGAUCGGUGUUUUCAGCUUAGGAGAAAGCGAAGAAAAAGCUAACACAAUUCAACUCCCCUUCUUGUGUUUUUCUCACUUCAUAGCGCGGAGAUGAAAAUGUAGCGUUGGAUAUGUGGUGAGACAAGAUGAUAGAAUUAGAAAUGAAAAAUGAGAGAGAGAGAGAGAGAGAGAGAGAGAGAGAGAGAGAGAGAGAGAGAGAGAGAGAGAGAUGGUGUAGCACUUAUAGUGAAAAAAAAUGGUUGGAAAAUAGAGUUAGGUAAUUUGGGCAUGUGAAGAAAAGAUCUAUAAAUUUUGUGCAGUAAUGAGAGUAGAUCAGAUGGAGGAUAUCCAUAUCUCUAGAAAUAGAAGAAGACCUGAAAAACAUAUGAAUAAUUAGUAAGAAAGACAUGAUGAUUAAUGAGUUAAAUCAAAAUAUGGUUUAAGAUAAAACAUUAUAACGUAAUUUGAUUCAUAUUAUUGAUCCUACGUAUUGUGAUAAGACUUGUUUUUAUGCAAAUCAAAUCAUGGUUUUCAAAGUAUCUUGAAGAAGAUUCGUCGAUCAACUCAUUUACAUCCAAUACAUAUAGAUUCGUGGAGGCGAAUCGAACCUAAAAUUUAGUGUGAUACCCACUUUGGAGUUUUCUUCAUGCACAACUAAAUGGAGACCCUCAAUUUUGAGGUCUUAAACGGGUUCCACAUUGACACAUCACUUUUUUUUAUAAUUUUUUAAGGCUUAAAUAUGUAAAUCGUCCCUGUAAUUUGGCGUGUUUUUGGUUUUUGUCCUUGUAUCUUUUUUUGUUCUAAAACAACCCUGUAAGUUAAUAACUUUUUGAUUUUCGUCCCUCCCGUCAACUUCCGUUACAAAAACGCAAAUGUGGCAAACGGAGGAUGACGUGGCAAACUUAUUGAUGAGUCACACAGUGAGAGGGACCAAAACCAAAAAACGAAAUUUGUAGAGGGACCAAAGCCAAAAAACAAAAUUCGUAAAGGGACCAAAACCAAAAAGCGAGAAAAAAUAGCUUUCUUCAUCUUCUUCCUUCCACCUCUUUUACAUCUUCAUCAUUGUCUUCAUAAAUUCAUCAAAAAACCCAGGAAAAAAUACUCAGAAAAGAGAUAAAAAAAACUCAAAAUCAUCAUCUCACUCUCAAUAGACAACUUCUCACAAACCCAAACAAAAUCCCCAUUGACAAUGGUCAGAUUGACAUCUCAACACUAAAAUCCACAAUGUUCAUAGUCCCAACUAAACUUUUAUUGAUAAUAUCGAAAUCAAAUUAUAACAACAAAAUCCUCAUUGUGAAUGCUCGAAUUCCCAAUAUUGAAAAAAUUCACAAAACUCUCAAAUUGAAAAACCUAAAGAAUGAUUUUUUUUCAUUACCAACUCUCGUCUCAUCAUUGAUCUCGCAUCUCUGCUGUUUCUUGGUCACUCCAAAUGCUUUCUUCGUCAAUUCUUUGAACUUUAAUAUCAUCAUUUUUGUUUCGAACAUUUGGGUCGUGUUCUUUAUUUCCGGUUGAUUUGGAAGAUUGUUGUGUUAAAUUGGAUUAUAAGAGAAAGGUUUAAGUUUGAUAUGAAUAUUCUUUUCAUUUGAAGUUCUAGAGGGAUAAUAAAUAUGUUGGAAUGUUGAAUUGAGAUAAGUUUUAUUUUAAAGUGUGUGAAAUUGGAUUGCACGUUGAACAGUGGGUAUAUUGGUUUAAUUUGAUUUUGUUGUUUGUGAGAAGAAAUAAAAGAGAAGUUAUAAUUGAAUGUGUUGGAUUGAGUUUGUUGUUGUUUUGAGUUGAUGGAUUUUUGGAUUUUGAAGUGAUGAAUUUCUGUGUUUGGUUGAUGAUGAUGAUGAAGUUUAUGAAGACAAUGAUAGUAAUGAAGAAGAAGAUGUGGGAAAAAGAUGAAGAAAUAUAAUUAAAUUUGAAUUUUUCGUCUUCUCGUUUUUUGGUUUUGGUCUUGGAAAUAGUCAAGUUCAUCUACAAAUUUCGUUUUUUGGUUUUGGUUUUGGUCCCUUUACGAAUUUUGUUUUUUUUGGCUUUGGUCCUUCUACAAAUUUCGUUUUUUGAUUUUGGUCCCUCUCACUGUGUGACUCAUCAAUAAGUUUUCCACGUCAGGCACUACCACGUCAUCGUCCGUUUGCCACAUGUGCAUUUUUGUAACGGAAGUUGACGGGAGGGACGAAAAUUAAAAAGUUAUUAACUUAUAGGGGUUGUUUUAAAACAAAAAAAGAUACAGGGACGAAAACCAAAAACACGCCAAAUUACAGGGACAAUUUACAUAUUUAAGCCAUUUUUUAAUAAUAGUACAUAAUAGGUACUCAAUCACUCCAAUAGAAACCCUGUAACAAAAGGUUUAAAUGAGACCCACCAAUAAUUUUUUAUCAUUUACAUUUCAACAAAAGUAACUCAACAAUGUUAUUUUAUUAAAAAGUGGUGUGGGGUCCACUUAAGAAUGGGGAUCAUAAGUGAGACCCCGGGUCUUAAGAGACCCCAAAAUUUUUUCCCACAAUGGGGGUACCUAUUUGGUAUCGGGUCUUAAAUGGUGAAGACCUCACCAUUGUGGAUGGUCUAACACCUCUAAUCGUCUUUGUUUUCGUUUUCUUUUAUUCUUGGUUUUUGGAGCAACCCACAACAAAUGUUCUGACAGGAGGCUGCAUAUGUAUUGAACUUUAAAAUUUGUAGUUUGCCUAUAUUGUAUCUGGGCCUCCCUGUUGGAGGUGAUUCUCGUAGACUGCAUUUUUGGAAUCCUGUGGUUAAUUGCACAAAAUCUCAUCUGUCCCGUUGGAAAAGCAAACAUCUUUCUUUUGGUGGUCGUCUUGUUCUUCUUAAGUCUGUCUUGAUCUCUCUCCCUGUCUAUGCUCUUUCCUUCUUCAAAGCUCCCUCAGGUAUCAUCUUCUCUAUUGAAUCUCUUUUAAUUUUUUUUUUUUGGGUGGGUGUGAGGAUAAUAGGAAAAUUUCCUAGACUGAUUGGGAGUCCAUAUGUUUUGCUAAGGAGGUUUGAGGUUAGGAGACUUAGGGAGUUUAAUUUGGCGUUGUUAGGGAAGUGGUGUUGGAGGAUGGUAGUGGAUAAAAAGGGGUUUUGGUUCAUAGUUCUGACUGCUAGAUAUGGUGGGGUUGGGGGGCGACUUCAGUCUUGUGGUAGUUAUGGGUCAGUGUGGUGGAAGGAUAUUGUCUGUAUCCGUGAUGGCAGUAGUUCGGUGUUGGGGAGUUGGUUUUCAGACAACUUACGUCUUAGAGUCGGUAAUGGUGUUAACACCUUGUUUUGGCUGGAUAGGUGGGUGAGUGAUGUCCCCGUUUGUGAGAAAUUUCGACGCUUAUAUAAUUUAUCUGAUAAUAAAUUAGCUACUAUGGCGCAAAUGUUUCAUUGGGGGUGGGAUGUGGGUGGGGAAGCAUGGAAGUGGCGAAGGAGGCUUUAGGUUUGGGAGGAGGAGUUGUUAGAGGAGUGUAUGCUUUUUUUAUUAACAGUUACGUUGCAGGUUGAUUCUGUUGAUGCUUGGAGGUGGACCCCUGACAUAGCCAACGGUUGCACGGCUAGUGGUGCUUACCGCUUGCUCACAGAUACGACGCAUAUCAAUAAUCAGAUUCCGGCUAAGCUGUUAUGGAGGAAGGAUGUGCCUUUGAAGGUUUCAUUGUUUGCUUGGCGUUUGUUUCGCAACCGAUUGCCUUCAAAAUUAAAUUUAUUCCGUAGAAGUAUCAUUCUUCCUGAGGCGCGGAACUGUGUUAGUGGUUACGGUUUUCAGGAAUCUGAAUGUCAUUUAUUUCUAUCUUGUGCUUUUUUCGGUCAUCUCUAGCAGCUGGUUAGAAAUUAGUUUUGUGUUCACUCAGCGGAUCCAUCCCAUAUUUUGGAUCAUUUCAUUCAGUUCGGUUCUUCUACAGGUUACGGUAAAUCUAAAUGCUCUUUUAUGCAUUUGAUUUGGUUUGCUACAACUGGGUAAUUUGGAAGGAAAUGAAUGCUAGAAUUUUCACAGGCACUCAGAGUUCCCAUAUACAACUUCUAGAGAAUGUCAAACAUCUUUCCUUCUGGUGGUUUAAGGCUAGUGUUGUAUCUUUUCAUUAUAGUUUUUACAACUGGUGCCAAAAUCCUUUGUUAUGUGCAGGAAUGUGGCUAAUUUUUUCAUUGUUGUUGUACUCUGACUGUAUUUUGUGAGCGCUUUCUGUGGUACACCUUGUACCUGGAAGUUGGCUCUCUGUUUCAAUAUGUCAUUUUGAUUUCUUAAAAAUAAAAUAAAAAUGUUCUGACAUUAAAUAUCACCUAGUUAUAAUGUUACAUCGACAACGACAAUACGUCUUUAUUAAAUUAUUUUUGUAAAAUAGCCAUUAAAAAAUGUGACAGGUAAUUAUAAUUUAAGAAAUUAAUCGAUUAAAACAUAGAUUAAGGAGUGAAUGGGAAAUGACUUUGUCGAUGUAAACUAGUUUUCUUUAAUAGGUUAAUUGUUCAUCUCUAAUAUAUGUGAAGUCUGAAAAAUAAUUUUGUAAUAAAAAAAUACGGAUUCUACGUAUGUAUGUAAUUUGAGAUUCUUCCUAUUUUUUACAUAAUUUUUUUUUUUUGGGUUAAAUAAGUUUUUCGUCCUUAUAAAAUAUCAAAUUUUGAUUUUAGUCCCUAAAAAAUAAAAUGAGAUGUUUUCAUCCUAAAAAAAAAAUUCUUUUAUUUUUGGUCCUUAAUGGAUAUAAUUUUGACAUGUUUGUGACAUUUUUUGAACAUAAUAUGAAUAUAUAAAGGUUGAACAUAAUAAACAUACAUAAUAUGGAUACAAUUUGAACAUAAAAAAGUUAUAAUUUUUACAUUCACAUGAACAUAAAGUGGUCAUUAAGGACCAAAAACAAUUUUUUUUUUUUUAGGAUGAAAACAUUCAGUUUAAUUUUUUAGGGACUAAAAUCAAAAUUAGCUAUAUUUAUAGGAACGAAAAACUUAUUUGACCCUAUUUUAUUUUAGAGAUGCAGUUCAGAAAAGUGAUCUGAACGUUAAAUUUUUUCAUGAUUUUUUGUAUGUAUAUUUAGGACGUUAAAAUAUGACUUUCCCUGCAAAAAUAGAAUUUUUCAACAAGGAACGAAUUAAUUAUGAAUUUUUAAAACUCCAAAAACUAAAAUAAAAUAAAAUAAUGGAAAUCACAAUCUAGAAAUUGAAUUUUGAGUUGUUUUUACACAGAUACCUCUAUAAAAUACAUAGAGAGGACCUGAAAAGUUUCAUAAUAUUUCAAUCCUGAAAUGUGUCAUAUCAUUUUGAUUACACCUCAAUUAUAUUGAAUUUUCAACCAAAUCGUACAAAAUUGUAAUUUUGUUCCAAGUAAACAUAUACUCGUAGGUCAAAUUGACGUCCUAAUUAACAUGCCUCCAAAGUUUAUUUAAGUAAAAUAAUAUUAUGCGUUCUCAUCAGAUAUCUAUUUAAAGUUAUUUUACAUCGACAAUGGAUCUUCAUUCAAUUAUAAAUUUAAUUACACUUAUUGAAAAUGAUAAAAAAAUCAUUAUAAAUGUAUUAAAGUCUUUUUGAAGGAAAAAAUAUAUAUUAAUGUUAAAUAUUGUAGAUUAAUGUAUUUUUAUAAUUGUCGAUGAAUGUUAGUUUGGUUGGUACACAUAUCCUCCAGGAAUAUAGGGUCAAUUCUCGUUGUCUAGAACUUCAUAAAUAGAUUAUUUGUAAGUAGAUUAAUUAACGUUAACUGAGUCUUAAUAUAUGAGUCCCUAAAUCCUAACUGAAGGUAAAUCGACAUUAACAGAAUAAGCAGCGGAAUAACAUUUCGAUUUACUUUCCUUGGAUCAUUACGAAUUGAAACUUGAACCAGUGAUUCGAUUGUUACCUUAGAACGAUUAGUCUGAAAACGAUCGAUGGAAUCUGCGAACUGGAAUCUCGAUCACAGCCAAGCAAACAACAGAGCCUCUAUUGAGUCCACACGAACAGUGCUCCUCCAAAACCUCGGUGCUAACCAAGAAGACGGAAGUCAGAGAACUAGGGUUUCUGCAAGGAAAACGUAACCGCAAACUAUUGCACUAGGGUUCUAUUUAUAGAACUCCUUAUGUGCUUUGCAAGUCAAACUCGUUUUUGACUUCACUAAGCCCAAUACGAGUUUAGCAAAUUUUGCUAAAUCAUUAGCAUUAUUUACUAAGCGCACCCUUUAUAUAAGUCUUACUUAUACAUAUCUCUUUUGACUGCUCUUUGUGUGUGACCCUUUAGGUUCUAGUCACGUUGGCAAUGAUAUUAAAUCUAAUAUUUAAUACUAUAAACAAUGAGCGGUAUCUAGCAACACAUCAUUGCUACCCAAGUGACAAGAAUGUCAAGUAAUCUGACGAAACCUUUCAUGAUAUACAUUAUUACUCUAUCAACAUUAAUCAGAUGUUAGCCUUUUUCUUUUGUAGCGGUUUCACUCACCUAUCAGUAUUCAGUGGAGCACAUUGAUCUAAUCUGUAGAUAGCAUUUUUCUCCAUCCAAUUUUCAAUGAGAACAACAAUUGUUAGGAGUUAAGCAUAUGUAAAGAGCUCAUCCCAAAAGAAUAGCCUCACAUUGAGCACUUUUACCUAUUCGAUGUGGGACUCCUAACUUUUAAUUGCUAUGAUUUAAACACAUGAGAAGAGUCCAACCAAAAAAACUAGUCAAUAAGGCAGAAGAGUCUCAUGACUUGGAGUAUCAUGUGAGACUCCUAACAUUAUCACGUCCUUGAAGAGUCGAUUAAAGAUUUUCAGUUAUCUGCACUAACCUGGUGAUAGCCGUUUUUUUAUGGUGACUUCCCUCACCUAUAUGUAUUCAAUGGAGCAUCUUAAUCAACAUAUCGGUAGCCAUUUUCCUUACACAACUCUCAAUGAUAGCACAAAUUGUUAGGACUUGAGCAUAUUUAUUAAAUUAAAAAGACUAAUCCAUCAAGUGGAAGAACUCCAUGGCUUAAGUACCACACUGAACAUUUUAUCUAUUCAAUAUGGGACUCCUAACAUGACCUCAUUGCAUUCGCAAAUAUCAAUUGGAUCAAAAUAUGAAGAUGGUAGAACAUUAGAUGAUAAACGAGCCAAUUUUAAACUAGUUCGAGACUAAAUUCAUGUUGGACUUGAUUUCACGAAUUAAAUAAAUUCGGGCAGAAAAUUAAUCUUGUUAGAAAAAUGAGUUGAAUUAUAUCUAUACAAUUUGAUUCUUUUGAUGUGUAUAUGUGUUUAUAUAUUUUGACAAAAAAAAAAGUGUGUAUAUAUAAUGGUUAAAGUGAAUUGUUCCAUGGUAUAUAUAUAAUGGUGGGAAGGUUUUAUACUCUCCCAUGUGAAAUGCCACCUACAUUUAUAUGUUACUUUUUCCUUACGACUUUCCUACACUACUUUUUCUUCCUUUUGACUAAUACACCAGUUGAUUUUUGAGACUAUCAUUUUGAAGAAGCACAUCUUAUCUACUAGCAUUUAGCAUAACAACGUUGUUUGUGUUGUAAACAUUUGUGAUAGUCUUUGUCACAGUGAGAUUGAAAAAGAAAGGACAGUAUACUAGAUUGCAAGAAUCCAAAAAAAGAAAGUGAAAUGAAACAUACCAACAUAAUGGGUGAACUUUUCUCUCUUUUCCAAACGACCAGAUUCUGUUCUAUCAACAUGAGGAAUGAUCUUCUCAUCUGUCACCACUGUGGACUCUUGCUUCCGGUAACGCGAGGCAGCAGCCGCGGCAAUCAAACCGUCAAAGGAGGCAGCUAGAACAUGUGUGAGGCGGAUUGCUUAGUAUUAGUGUGUUGUGAAUGAAAGAAGAAGAAUGAAGAGAAACAAAUAAAAUACCUUGCUCCAUCUUGUUGGAGAUUCACUCACGAAUCACGAUCACGAUCACGAUCACAAACACGAACGCAAAUUGACUGGAGCUAGAGAAGAAGCUGUAUUUGACUGCCUUAAUUUAAUACUCUUCCAUUUCAUCUACUAGUGAUACAUUAAAUAAAAAUUUGGUUUAGACUUUACAAUGGGACAAUGAAGAAUUCUGACAAAAAACAUACAUUCACAUUUAUUUAGUAUUAUUUUAAUGGUAAUGUUAACUUGUGUUUUGGGUUACAAGUGGACUAAAAAAGGAAAAGAAAAAAAAAAUUGUAAUAAAAAUAUUAAUAUUUAAAUAGUUACAACAUUAAAUUCACAAUAUAAUUUUCAAUAGUAUAUUUUAUCUUUUAACAUCUUAACUUAUAUUUUAAGGCACAGAUUAACAUUUUUCUUAUCUUUUCAAUAUAUAUUUAUUUUAAAUGGAGAAGAGUUACAUGUGUUUUAUUUGAUACAAAAGUAUCAUUGAAGUUUAAGGGAAAAUUUUAUCGAAUAGCUGCAAGACCAGAGUACUAGGUGAUGAAAAAUCAACACGAGAAUAAAAUGAGCGUAGUAGAGAUGAAGAUGUAUUGUGGAUGUCUUGUAAGACUAGAUUGUAAGACUAGAUGAGAUAGAAUUAGAAAUGAAAAUAGAAAAUUGCUUUUCUAACAUAAGGAAACUUCACAAAGACACAAGUAAAAUACUAAAAUGCUCCCAACGGCAGUUAACUGCCGUUGCUUUCUGUUAUUUGAACAGAACAGCAUAGGAGUUUCCAAAACUCCAUUGUUACGUUUUUUGCUUCCAUAGGUGCGAAUUUCACAAUGCAUAAGCCAUUCCAAGCCAAUUUCAAGCACAAAAUCAAGUAAGUUUUUUGAAUCCUAUUGCAUUGCUAUUUUUUGAUUGAUUUGUUAGUUUUUUUUUUUGUUAAAUUGCGAUUGUUUAUUGAUUAUAGAGGUUGAAUUGUUAGGUUUAUGUUAGAAUUGUUUAGAUUGUUAGAAUUGUAAAAUUGUUAUUAAAUUAUGGUAGAAUUUUUAGGAUUAGAUGAAUUGUUGUAUAAUCGUUGCGAUUAGUUUAGGAUUGAUAUGAAAUUUUGUUGUUAUGAAUUUGUGAUAGAAUUGUUACGAUUAGUUACGGUAUAAUUUUUAGGAUUAAAUAAGGUUUUGAUGAAUUAUUGUAGAAUUGUUACGACAUGAUGUAGAUUUUGAUCGUCAUUUAUUUGUUCAAUAGGAAGUAUUCAUUGUCAAAAAAGCAAUUUUCAUAAAAAUAUUAGAGAGAAAGUUGGUGUAGCAAUUAAGUAUAAAAGAUGGUGGAAAAUAAUCUUAGAUAUUUUGAGCAUGUAGAGAAAAUACAUAUAAAUUAUGUAGUAAGAAGUGGAUUAGACAAAUAAUAGUCAUAUCCUAAAGGUAUAUAAAGACCUAAAAAAAACUUUAUGGAAAAUAAUUAUAAAAGAAUUAAAGAUUAAUGAGUUGGACCAAAAAUAUGAUACAUGAUAAAAAAAUAAUGACGUAAUUUGAUUCAUGUAACUGAUAUCAUUUGACGAGGUAAGACUUGAUUUUAUUUGGAGAGAGAUAAAUAAUGUUACAUAGUCAAUACAUCUUUAUUAAAUUCUUUUUCUAAAAUAGCCAUUAGAAAAUUUGAAAGGUAAUUAUUUUUUUGAAGCAGAGCUAAAAAUCUCAAAAGUGAAAUCUUUAGGUUAAAAUAACAUUUUAUUAUUCAUACAGCAAAAUAAGCAAAUUUAACAAAUAGCCUUAUUCUAGUUGCAUUCAUGAUCUUACUGUGAUCAACAAUAAUGCAGGACUCAUGGCUACAUCCCAUAAGGGGUACAUAAACUGAAACUCAGAAGAAAAUGCAACAAUUGAACAUAACACAUAGCAACACUCCAAUGCUAAUGCUCACCAUUAAUAAGUCUUAUCCUCAUCAUGGCAACACUUGUAGGUAAUAAACACUUCCAUUCUGCGACGACAAUCUGGACACUCAACAAAAUCUGGGAUUUUUCCAGCAACUUUAUGAAUCUCAAGGUGAGAGCAAAGAUGAAAGGAAGGAGCAACCUUCUUAUGAUGUUCAUUAAAUGCAUGUUCAAAGCCCUUUUUAAUUGCCACUUCUUUCCAUUUGUCAAACUCGGACACUGUUUUCGACACUGUAGUACCAUGGCCAACAGCAAUCACAAUAGAACCUUUGGUUACAAUUGCCCACCCUGUCUCAUUCUUGUACGAAAGCAAUUUCUCAACCUGUUGUUUUACACUGUCUGUUGUAUCAUUAUUAUUCAUCUUGGUGAGAAACAAACUCUCCACCUUUGUCCAAAAUUUGUUAACCACAUUUGGCUUUUGAGACUCCAAGCUUAACAACUCAAUUGAAGUCUUUGCCUGCUUAAUAUUUGUAUCAUUUGCUAGGGCAGUAGCAAACUUGGUGAAUUCUUGGAUCCAUGCCUUAUCUUUACCUCCAUAAAUGAUAACAAACUUCUCCUCCUCCUUCAUUUUUCAAAGGAACAAAAGUUUUCUUAGUCAUGUUCAUUUUUCUCAAUUUAAAUAGCCUAAAUAAUUGACCCACAAAGUAAGUUUAAUAAUUAGAAUAAAGAUUCAAUUUAGUUUUUCACAAGAGAAGAUCCAUUUUUAUUUUUUGGGUGAACAAAUAUUGUUGUUACUCUUAAUAAUUAAAUGUCUCUAUAAAUAGUGAUUGAAAUCUUAAGAAAAUAUCAUAAUGACAAUUUGGAUCAUAUUACAAUAAUAUUAAAAGUUUUAAAAAAAAGAUUUGUGACCAGCAAAAUACUUACCCAUUUAAUCUGUAUAUCAAUGUCAACCAACAAGGAAACAACCCACUUUAAUUCCUGGGUUAUUGAUUUUUCUUUGUCUUCGGUGUAAGGAAAACCCUUUACCCCCCAAACUUGAAUCAUAUGGAAUGCAUUAUGAUGCAGAAUCUUUCCUUGUGGGCUCAACACAACAACCAAAGGCUUCUGAUUGAAAUGCAACUCCUCCUUUAUGUACUUGAUGCCUUUAAUUGGUGCAAAGUGAUGCAAAACAUACCAAGGCAUCUUUGACUUCAAAGAAUCAAAUUUUUUCCUCAACUUAUCAGUCCAUUCAUCCACAACGGGAAUCCACACAAUCUUGUACUGGCUUCCUGUUUCCUUUAAAUGGUCAUAAAUUGGAAUCAAAAUGGAGAUGUCUUCUUGGCUAAUGUUUAGGGUUGAAAUGAACAAGAACACUUCUUUCUUUUUCAACACUUCAAUAUCAACCUGUUAAUUUUAUUAAAAAAAAUAUAUAUAAAUUACAAAGUGAAACAAAUAUUUACUUUAAAAAACAUCCUCCAAAACUAAAUUAAAAUACGGAGACACAAGGUGCUCAGCUUCUCACUAAAAGAAAAUAUUUAUUUCUUUUGAAAGAAAAAGAAAAAUUUUUAUUCAUAAAAAAAAAUCUGUAUAUUGUCAUAAUAUAUUAAGCAAUUAAGACAUGAAAAUAUAUUUUAAAAAAAAUGAAAUAUUGACAAACUAGCUCAAUAUAUAACUGAUUAAAAAAUAUUUCUCCUUCCCCAAUUAUUAUUUUAAUUAAGAUAUGAAAAUACUAACCAGUGUUUUGGUGGAACCAUCAUAGAUGGAUUCUUUUGGAGCGUCUUUCCGAAAAAUCAGCACUUUAAACACUUCCAUGACUUCAGUCGGGGUUUGAAAGAGCUUUUUGAGUAACUUGAUAUACUCUGCUUCAUCUGGUAAUUCAAAUAAUUUCCUUAUACUAUCAAAUUUAUAUAUAUGUGUAUAAUUUCUUUCUAUAUAAGAAGAAAAUAUUUCCCCUAAAAAAAAAAAAAGUAGUAGCAAAGACAUUUGAUAUACAAAAGCGUAAGUUGGAGAUGAAAUUUUCCGCUUAUUAAUACUUAAUAUGUGUGAGUUUCGUCAUUAAACUCUAGAACUAGAAUAAAAAAAGAAAAAGAUAUAAAUAUUUAAUUGAUACACCCUCCGGUCAUAAUUAUAAAAAAAAAAAAAAAAAAUCAACAAUUUAGAUUCAUUCAUUAAAUGAUUUAUGUGGCCUAUAAUAAAGUUCAUAUGCAUCAUUAAUUAAAUAAAUCUAAAAUGUAGAUCUUUGUUUAUAACAGUGAGUGAAAGGUGUAUAUGGUAAACAAAAUCAUAUGAUUAAUUUAUUUUUUUAUUUUUUUUUUAAAUCUUCUUCUAUAUAGGACUCGAGAGAGUAUGUGGUAAAAUAAUUACCAAUAUAUAUAGUGCAUUGUGCCACAUGGUUCGUCAAUUUGUUGAUUAUGAUGCUAAUCUUAUGACCAAAUUGAGACAACUUCUGCCUUGAAUUCCUGACAAUAAAAAAUAUGAGUAAGUUCUUUAUAUUUUCUCCUCUAUAUACCAACAUAAAACAAAACAAUUAAGAUUAAAAAGAACAAAAACACAUACAAUCUAGGCUUAAAAACUUACGAAUCAGUAGUGAGACAUUCAAUCUGAGUAACAAUUGUAACAAUGGUGAUGAUAACCCAAAACACAUCAACCGGGAAUUCUUCCAAUGCUAGUGCAAGAGCUGGCACUUUCUUGAUGUCAUGAAGUGAGUUGAGUCUUUCCAACUCAAUGAUGAUUUCAAUCACUUUCCAUGUUGCCUUGAUCAAAUUGUUGAGCUCCAAAAUUUCAUUGCGAUGUUUUUUCAGUGCUUCAGUUUUGGUGAGUUGAGGCACUCUUUUCAUUAUGGCUAAUGAUUUGGCAAGUGGUUCUGUUGGUAGAUGUUGUGAUAGAUUCCAGAACUCACCAUAUUCAAUAGCAAAAGCAGAAAGAGUUAGCACUCCUUUUUCAACCCAUAAAUUGUUUGAGAGCUUUUUCAGGAUUGUUAGUGUUGUUUCGUAAGCAAUUUUCUCACCCGGAGCCUUGCAUGACAUCUGCGACCGACAUACAAUCUAUAUGAGUUUACUUCUAAUCUAGGGUUUUCACGAUGCGAUAUGAAUUGGUUCUUAGCAUCAGAAACUCGGGUUGAUAUAUAUAUAUAUAUAUAUAUAUAUAUAUAUAUAUAUAUAUAUAUAUAUAUAUAUAAAAGUACGUAGUUUAGCAUCAGAAAAUAAAAUAUUAAAAUAAAGACCUCAGAAUUAAUUUUCUUCAAAAUACACAACGGUGGAGUGAAGCUAGCAGGGGGAUGUGUGUUAUCCAAUGGCUCCAGACCUCCUUGAUUUCCCUGUAAUAGUUAAACAGGUUACCAUUAUUUAAUUAGAAGCGCAGUGCUAUGUAAAAAGAACCGAUAUAUAUACUAGUAAUUUUUCUUCUAAUAUAUAUAUAGACACACACUAGUAAUUUAGAAGUUGUUAAAAUCACAAAAAUAAAAAAUGCAUAAAUAAAAUAAAAAUUAAUGAAUGAUUAAUUAGGUGCAUACUUGCACAACGUUUUCAACAAUAUAGGUUGAACGCCUAAGAAUGUUUGCAGCAAUGUUGAAAAGAGAUUCAACAUCAAACUUGGUGUCACUAUGGACAUGGGUUGAAUAAAUCUCCCCCAUAAUUUGUAUAUCAGACAUGAUCAAAGGGUUAUUGUGAAUAAUAUUGCCACUGGUAAUGUGGAGAAAUGAUUUCAUUAGGUCGGCCAUACUAUUGAUUCAGGAAGAAAAAAAAAAGUGGAUUAUAGUUUAGAAGCUAAGAUUUUUUGUGAUUUGAGUGGUAGCUUCAGUGCCCUAUUUAUAGCCUUGAGAGCUGGAAUAUCUCCAAGCAAUUGGUUUUUAUUUUCAAAUUUUCUAUUAGGAUAAGCCUUGUGUACAAUUUCUUCACUUCUCCGAGUGGUCUUUUUUUUUAAAUUAAUUAAAGUGUUACUGUGCAGUGAGACUAAUAACUUAUAUGUACUGAGAUAAUUGAUAUGGUUAACGUCUCUCUUUUUCCAAAUCUUGGAGUUAAAAUUUGUGUCAGUUUGCUUCAAAUACGCUGUGCAUGGUCUGUAGAACUUUGAUAUUCUACAAAUACUUCUCAAUAUUUUUUUUGAAGAACUUCUCAAUUUUUUUUAGUUGGUUGCAACUUUUAUUUGAAUCGAUUAAAACAAAUGUAUUUUCUUUAAUCGGUUUUAUAUUGGUUAAUACAGUAAAAUUUUGUGUCGAUCGGUUUGCUUCAAAUACUUGACAUCGAAAUUAUCCAAAUAAAAACUAGUAUUAACCAAUUCCAAAGAUAUUGAAAAUUGUAUAAAAUCGUUUUUUUUGGGUAGUAAAAUAAUUUUUUUUUUGACAAAAAUAAAAUGAUAUUCAUUCAUUUAAAUCGAGAGAUUACAUCAUUCAACACCAAUAAAAACGUAAAUGAUGAAUCUGCUAACAAACUCACAGCAUCCAAGUUAACAGCAUAUAACAACAUAAUGCCUACAAAAAUAUAUGAUAAAAUUAAAGUGACCGGAAUAUCCAUCGCCUCCGAAUCUGCAACGUUGACGCCCAAAUCUUUGAUUGAAUUACUUAUCUUUCAAUAUGAAUCAAAUGAACACCGCACGACGACGGAAAAUCAAACAACACCGCACAAGACGACGAACAACAAACCACCACACUUAGAUGAUGAAAUCACAAAGAAAAAAACAUAGAUUUAUGUGAAAAUCACUUAUUUAUAUUGAAAUAGAAAGAAAAAAAAUGAAGAGGGGUGAUUUCAGGUCAAGAAUUGACCCAAAACCACCCCUCAAUGAAAAAACUAUAAGAAAAAAUCUAGAGAAAGAAAACUAGGGCCGACUUGUUGAAGAGUAAAAUAAUUUUUUUAAUAAGUCAAUAUGAAUCAUAUUACAUAAACGGAAAAGCCUUCCAACACAAGACCUGUAAAAGAAGACUUGAUGAAAGUUAUAAGGUUUACUCUUAAUGAUAUGAAAAUAGAUUUUUAUUGAACAUGUAUAUAAACUUUCUUUUAUGAAAUCACAAUGAUUUGGUUGAAUUUUGGAUUGUUUAUUAAAGCCAACCUGAACUCAACCACAUAUAUAAUUUUUAAUAUUUGUUUUAUUAUUACUAAUUAAGUGGUAAUAAAAUGACAUACCGAAAUAAAGUACAAGUACUCAACCCACCGAAAUAAUUUCUUACCAACUACAAAAAAACUUCCACCAGAAUCACCUUAACAUACAAUCUAAUGAUAAUAUAAACUACACAUAAAGAAAGGAGGCUUUGAAUUCCUCUCCAAAAACACUUUUGAUAGGGCAUAACUUCCUUACACCAUAGCUAAUUGCUCAAUCUUUUCCAUAUCAACCGAAAAGGAAGGGCAGAUACUAUCACAAAUAAUUUUCUCUUUCUCUACAUGACACAUGUCUCACAUUAGUAACAUACUUACUACUCCGUUCUUAUUUAAUUGUCAUAUUAUAAUAGUAAUAAGAUAUCAAAGAAGUAGAUUUUCGGUGUUUUUUUCCCUAUUAUACUUUCAUCAUUUUAAUUUACUAAUAAAUUUGAUUCCAUAUCUUUUUUUCCAUAACAAACGAUUGGUAUACCCUCUUUCCAAGAAUCUUUUUUUUUUCUUUUCACACUCUAUCACUCAAAUAACAAAUAAUUUUUUUUUAAAUAAUUGUAAAGCAAACUAAAACAAUUCAACUUCACAUUAGUCAAAGUAUAACUAUGUUCUUCAACUUUCCUACAACUCUUUUGAUAAAAAUUUAGGUUUCAACUAUAGCUUCAACCAAUACUGGAUUCAUAUUGUGUGACAUUGUUAUAGGUAACAAUGUUACAAUUGCAUUUUAUUUUUUUAACAAUGUUACAAUUUUAUUUAUAGAAUUUCUAUUCUUCAUGGAUCCAUUUCUAUAGGUAACAAAAGCUUGUUUAAAACAAACUUAAAUUUUCAAAAUACAUAGGACGGAUCCAUUAUUAUUGGUAACAAAAGCUUGUUUGAUUUUUAUUUUUUUUGAAUCAUUGAAAAAGAGUAUGAGUAAUUAAGAACGGGUAUAAUUGACGAAUUUUAUCUUAAAAGGUCAAAACGACAGUCAAAUAAAAAUGGAGGGAGUAAUUAUCAUAAAAAUGGACUUAAAACAGUGGCAUCAUGAUGUGAUUUGAGCAUAAAAAUUAUUAAGAAAAAUAGUAAUGUAAAAUGAAGGAAGCAUGUUUUUAAUUUGGUGAAUGAAAGUUUAGGUGAGUUGGACCUCAAAGACUCACUAGCAUCAUGACAGACGUCAAGGUUCAUUAAGUGUUAACAAUAGUACCUACAUAUCAUCCACUAAAAAGAUCCUUCCAAUAACAACGAAUGAUAAAUCGAUAAAUCCACGACUUUACGGACAAGUCAACUUCGUCAUCCUUUCAUUGACAAAAUAAAAGAAGUGUAUAAUGAUAAAACUUCAAAGAUAGAAUAUAUUUUUUCUCAAAAUUAAUUAAUAUUGACCAACUACUUAUUUCGAAUUCCCUUAAAUAUUACUUACAAUUUGGGAUCAUUGUAAAAAAAAAAAAAAAAACUUAUUGGGUUCACCAACCCUAACAUGUUCUUUACUUACAUAUGUUUUUUACGGGAAAAAAAUUAUGUAAGGAGUACGAAUAGGCAUAGCAACAAAAUCCGUAUCCGUGGGUACCCAUUCGAACUAAAUCCAUUUUGACGAAUUUUUUCCGUUUUGAUUGGGUUUGGGUAUGAGUUUGGGUUUUUCCCGAUUUCAAAACACGGGUAUGGGACGGGUAAUGGGGAUAUAGGAACCCAUACCCAAACUCGUUCCGAAUGUAGAAAAUCAAUUUAGUACCCAUUUUAUAUCAAUAGAAACUCAAACCCUAAAUCAUUUUAUUCAUAGAGUUAGAAUUUCAGUCAAAAUCUAAGAGUUCUCUCUCUUCUUCCAUAUCUCACAGUUUUGGUCUCUCUCUUCUCCAACACCAUAGCCAUCGAUCACCAUCAUCUUUUUAUUGAAUAAUGCAUUACAACAUCACACCUAGGGCUGAGAAGUACUUCUUCUUUUAUUAAAAAAAAUUUAUCCAUUGCGGGGAUACCCGAACCCAUCAGGACGAGGAUGAGAUUCAAUUUCUCAUCCCCGUUGAGUUUGGUUAGGGUAACAGGUAAGCAUAUUAGAAUAGAGCAUGGGAGGAAGGUGAAACCCGUCCCCACCCCGCCUCAUUGUCAUGCCUAAGUACGUAUAAUCGCAUCAAUUCUUUCAAGAAAAAAAUAAUCGCAUCACAUGCAUGCUAUCACCUCCAAUUAAAAAUAUCAUUGAUGGUCACACACCCCAACAAAUAAAAAAAACCAAUUCAGAUUACAUCGUACAAUGGAAAAAUCAAUUAACACCCAUUUCAAGUCAUACCCCAAAUUCCUUAAAAAAAGCGACACCCCAGAGAUGAAAAAUGGAUCAACACACGGUUUCAAUUUUAUCCUAAAAACCUCGAAAAAAACAAUUAGCCUAAAAACCUUGAAAAAAAACAAAAACCUACAAAAAAAAAAAAAAAAAGAAUAAAGAUGAAGCCCUUGAUGGUAAUCUUUUCUUCAUGGUUCUGCUAGCACUAUAUUAAUAUGUCACUCUAUAUUAGUUUCUUUUUGUAAUUUUCUUUUUUCAUAAAAGUAAAAUUACACAACUUAACAUGUAAUACUCUAUACAUUUUGUCAAAACAAAAAAAUGUAAUACUCAAUACAUAUUUUUUAAAUUUAAAUAACCGUUUAUAGUUUACAUCAUAUAAAUUAUCUUAUCCAUAUGCUUGUAUUAAAAAAUAUUUUUCUCUUUCUCUGUAUGACACAGGUCUCGCAUUAAUAACAUAAAACUAUCAUAAAAAAUAGGUUUAAAGAGUAGCAUUAUGAUGUGAUUUGAUUGUAUGUAUGUGUAAAAAAUGUUUUCAUUAUAAGUGUUAACUGCAUGAAAAUUAUUAAAAAAAAGUAAUAUAAAAUGAAAGAAGUAUAUUUUUUUUGUGAAUGAAAGUUUAUGUAGGUUGGGAUGUUGAAGCUCGCCAUGAUCAUGAUAAUCGUCAAGUUUCAACAAGCAUCAACUGAGAUAUUUACAUAUCAUAAUAUACAGAAAAUGAACCCAUGAUUUUACGAAUUAGUCGACUUCGCCAAACUUUUAUUCACAAAUCAAAAGAAGUAUGUAAUGAUACAACUUCAAAGAUAGAAUGUACUUCACGUCAAAAUUAAUUAACGUUUACCGAUUACACUUAUUUGGGAUCAUUGUCAAAAAAAUGAAAUAAAAACUUAUUGGGUUGACCAAACCUAACAUGUUUUUUACUUACAUUAAUAUCAUCGCAUCAAAGAUCCGAUAUCAUCGAAUCACAUGCAUCACAUGCAUAUACUAUCAUCGCAUUACUUGUUAGCAUUCUCAUAAUAUUAUUCCUGUUUACGUUAAUAUUUUAUGAUAAGGUUGUACAAUAUCCACCAGCAAAGAUCCGGUUUAUCGGAGAGACCAUAUAAUAUUUAGACCCGUUAGACUUGCUUAUAACAAUGACGUAUGGAAAAUGACGUAUAGGCAAUGAUGAUAUGCAUUAUAUGGAUUACUACUGUAUCUCGUCAUACAUAUAAGCAGAAGGGAAAAAAUAUCAUACAAAAAACCAAUAAUAUUAUUAAGUCCUAUAAUUUUGAUAUUUUAUCUAAACCAUCAUUAUAUUCCUAAAGACCUACAGAAAAGGCUUUUAUGCCCUCCCAGAGACCUCAACGUCCAGAUAGGAUGAUGUGCCCAAAGGCGCGUAUCUCCCCAUAAGCCACCUUUAUCCGCUUCUAGAAGCCUCUAGAAAGCGCUCGAAUACCUAAAAUAUCCCCAUUACUUUCUGCCUAAGUAACCACAAAUCAGGCCCAUAGUAAUACAACCUUGCGAGCUUUCUCAAGAGAUCCAAUAAUCAGUCUAAACCCUAGAAUACGAUACUGAACCCUAGUAUCCUCUAUUGUGCUUUUUGCAAGUACAGUUGGCGCCGUCUGUGGGAAAAGGUAAAACUAACCUAGAUCACCUUUCUGAAUCGCAAAUCGCAAUUUGGAAACCCUAAAACCAUAAAACUCUGAAUCGUAGCCGCUACAACUGCGACCCAGAAACCCUUUCACUUCCAACCCUAGAUCGCCUUGAUCUAUAAACCCGAUCACGCCAUCCUCAUGGAAACCGCUGAAGAACUCGAGACGUUACGAACCCAAGUCGCUCAACCCAUGGAGCAGAAUGAAGCCCUACAAGCUUCAAUGGAAACCAUUCAAUAGAAGCAGCAAGAAGAGAAAGACGAGUCCCACCAUGGCGAGAUGGAUGACCUAGAACCUCAACCCCUUUCGGAAGAGAUACGGGGAGCUCCCGUUCUAGAAAAUUUUAAGCUGACGCACCUCUCUUCCUUUGACGGGAAAAGUGAUCCCAUGGAGCAUGUCACAUAAUUCAACACUCAUAGGGCCGUCGUUGGAGCGCCUGAUUCAAUGGCCAAAUUUACUAACCAGAAGCUUGAGAAUAAAGACACAUCGCUUAGUCUUUCCUUGACAAAAAAUAUAUUUUGAUUCAAUGUCCAAAUUUCUUAACUAAUGUGAAUGACAUUUGAGAAUUGUUUUUUCAAUCGAUUAGUGUCCUCAUUUUGUAUCUUUCCUCAUUAUUCCUUGAAUUCUGCUCUUCAUCCAGCACAUUUUGCUCGCGCCCUACAUCUGUUCCAAAUUUACCCUUGCGUUAGUUAACUCACGCAAGUGUAAAUGUAUGCGCUAGUUAACUAACGUUGCGUCAAUUAACUUGCGCAAGUGUUAAAAACUGCGUUAGUUAACUCACGCAGACAUUAACACAUGCGUGAGUUAACUCACGCACAAUCUGUGCAUACAACCAGAAGAGGCAGAAACCUCUAUUUUCCCUAUUUUUCAAUCCUUCUUUCAUACAAUCAUUCAAGCAAACAUUUUUCAUCAUUCAUUCAAGCAUUCAUUCAAUCAAACAUUAAGUCAUAAGUAUAUUACGAAAAAUAACGGAAUAAAACAACGGAAUAAAAUAACGAAUAAUGUCAUAAAAACGCUAAAAAUCGUAAGUGUUAUAGGAUUACAACCAAAUCCAACAAAAUGUCAAACAAAAAAAACUACACAAGUCAUAUUGGUCCAUCCCGUGGACUCUUACUCCUCCUCCGCGGAGCCGGCACCUGCUCCAGCAUGCUCCGCUCAGACUGUAUGCCCUACAUCAAGCUCAUAACCUCCUUUGGAUUAUGAAACACAGUAGGAUGUCUCAUUGCACCGUCCACUCUAGCUCUGAUGUUGCUGAUGAUCUGGUAUGGGUCUAGAGGAUGUUUGGCCCACUGCUGCUCAACAAUAACCUCCUCACAAGGAGGGGCAGCAGCUGCAUAGUCAGCAAUGGCUGAGGACAUGUAGAGCAAACUUUGUGAAGGUCUGGGCCACGUCAUUCGCCGCAAUAAGCUCAAUGUCUGUAGGAGCCCUGGGAAUAGUCUGGUCAUACCCGUACUGCCUAAGAACCCGCUCUGGCAAGUGACGGACCAUCCUGUCGCUGUCGGCCAUGAUCCAUCCGGAGUACCAGCAUAUGUCCUGAAAUGGCGUGAUGUGUCGUCGUCUCUCGUACGGCCUCCAGGUGACAUGUGAAUGGUCCAACGAAUCGAUGGCAGCUCUGUAGUGUCCAAGAUUAGAAAAGCCCCUUGGAGGUUUCCAUUGACUCACAAGCGGGGAAACAACAAGGUCGUAGGCAUCAUGAUCAAUCCUCAGAAUGAUGUUCGAGAAUUGCGCCAAAGUCCAUCCCUGCAAACACAAAGAAACAAAUAUUUAUAUCACCGUAAGAAUUAUACAAACGACUAAACAUUUGCGAUCCAAUAAGUAAAAAAGAAGGAAAAACAAAUAUUACCACAAACAAUAUCAUGUAACCACCACAGGAGGCCAUAUAUGAGUCGGAGGUAAGAGAUAGAUGCUCAUAUAGGAAAGCAAGUCUCAUCCCACCCCAUGACCAGCUGUCCAACUUGUCCAUAUCUUGCAGAUACCUUUCAUAGGCAAUGUCAAGUUUUUAAAGCUCAGCUUCUUCCCGUGCGAGAUACCUUUCACCCUAUGUUUUUUUCGAAACUGAAAUACAAAAACAAAAAAACAACAAACAACACUGUUAAAUAAAUAAUAAGGAAAUCAAACAUUAAAUAUAUGCUAACAUAAAUUUUAAUUCUAACAUUAAAUAAGUAAAAUAAUAAUUAAAUUAUACUUACAUCGGCAUCGACCCAGACCCUGCAUGCCACAUGUCCACCAAAGUGAGGUAAAAGCGUCAGCUCAUAAGGCCCCCUGCAUAUCCGUUUGGUCCGGCCUCAUACACCACCCUCUGCACCCCUUGAAAAUGAGCCCCACCAUCAUGCUGCUGAGGCUCCUCAAUAUCAGGUUGCUCCUGCUCAAUACUAGGCUGCUCAUGAUGAUCCUCAUAAUGAUGCUGCUGAUACGCUUCAAACUGAUACAACUGAGGCUGAGGCUCCUGAAAAUGAUAGGCCUGAUCUUGCGCCUGCUCAUACACCUGAUAAUUCUGCUGAUGUUGUGUCGGGUUCACCGUCUGGGAUGGACCCGUCUUUGACCUUGACCCCCUGCAGCAUCAACUCUAGCAAGUCUCGUUCCCCCACCUCUCCCUCGACCAACCAUAGGAGGGCGUAAUGCUUGUUUCUCCCUCCGUGCACUACCAGUAGGGGCAGGCCUCCCUGCCCUAAGUCUGUCACUUCUAUCAUGAGGCGGCUCAGGCGGUCUCUGAGACGUAUUCCUCUGAGGCAUAUAUGCACAACAUUUAACAUAACACAAAUUCAAUGAUACAUUUUCACACGCACAUUGUGUCAUUUCCAACAAUUCAACAACAACACUAAAAUUCCAACAAUGUCAUUUCAAUCCGUAAACUACCACAUUGCAGUCAAACAUAUUAUAAUCAAAAUUAACAAACCAUAUGCUAACUAAUUUGAUAAUUCACAAUCCAAAAAAACAAAAUAAUUACCAUAGAGACUUUUUACCAAACACAUAGUGUGCAAUUUUCAAACAACUAGGUAAUCUAACAAUUUGUAAACCCUAAACUAGCACAUUGUACUUUAAACAACUUCUAAACAACAAUUCCUAAGUUAAUUCAUCACUUCUGUAAUAUUGAUUUAUAAAUAUUAGAUUUAUAAAUUAUAACUUUGACAUAAUUAUAUAUUUUUUUAGAGUAUAAUACACUCCACCCCCCUCAAAGAUAUGAGUAUUACACUCCCCUCCCCUCUUGUUGUAAAACACACACUCCCCUCCCUUAAUAGUUAAAAUAUUCACAUUUCCACCCAUUUUUAAACGAUUUGUUAACCUUUUAGUCAUUUAUAUUACACAAUAUUUUCUUUUACCAAAAUAAUCCUUAGCUUCUCCAAACAUGUCGCUUCACCUCUUUCAUUGCAAUCAAGGAUUAUUACCACUGUCGCCUAUGUCUUGUGGGGUGUCUGACUAGGUUCAGUUUGUGCGCUUUAUCUUAAUUAUUGGAUCUAUUUCAAAACAUGGACGUCUGACUUGCGAUUGGUCAAAAUUGGUUGAGAGGGGUUGUGUGGGUAAUUUUGGCUUUGUCGUUGUUACUUCUAUUUUUUUAAAUUCUAGAAUUGCUAUUAGAAAAAUUAGGAAAAUAUCCAAAUAUUACAUAUUGUUUGAAGAAAUUCUUAGCGAUGAAGUUUUUGUUUUAAUUGUCUGCAAAUUAACUUGGUAAUUGCUUGUUUCAGAAAUCAAUUGUUGUUCAUGAAUAUUGAGUGCGUUUGUUUCAGCUUUAAAAAAAAUAGAUUUUGUGUUCAAAAAAUCUAGAGAUUUUUUUUUUGAGAUUUUUAAAAAAAUCUGAAGUUAUUUGUGUUUGCCUACUAUCCAUAAAAAUCCAUUUUUUUUUAAAAAAAAAAAAAAAGUUCUAACAUGCACAUAUGUUAUCUCCUUGUUGUUGAAAAAAGUAGAUUUUGAGAAAAACUAAUCCUAAUAGCUUUUCAUUUUAGGGUCAAAAUAGAUUUUUUUUUGACAAAAUGAUUUUUCUAAAAGUCCUAAACAAACACUUACAAAUAAAAAAAGUGAUAUUUUUUUAGGGAAAAAAUAGAUUUUUUUUUGGAAAAAAUCUGAAACAAACGGGCCCAUUAUUGCAAUCAAAGGAAAUGCUCCAUAAAGAAUUGAUAGGGGUAUUUCGGUGAUAAAAAAUAAUAUUUAACGGAUGUUAAUUAAAAUUAACGGAAAAUGUACACAUGGAUCAAGUUGUAGUGCAUUUAAUUUAUUACGGGAUGGGAGUGUGUGUUUUGUAACAAAAGAGGAGGGGAGUGUAAUAUUGAUAUUUUGAGAGGAGAGGAGUAUAUUUUACUUUUUUUUUUUUUUGUUUGAACAUCAGGAGAAAAAGGUCUCACUUCAUAUAUUUUUUUUAUGUAUACUUCCUUUCAAAAAAUAUUACUAUAUUUGAGGGGCUAGCUCAUGUGAAGAGCUAGUUUUGUAAUCUCAAAUGCUAGGUUUGAAUUCUCUUAAAAAGGAUUGCAAACUAGUAUUUUUUUUAUUUUUUUUUAGGGAAUUGCAAACUAGUUAUUAAUGUCGUUUUAAUCAACUUCUUUUAAAAAAAUACUUUAAUUAAUAAAACGUUCACCCUUCCAUAAAUACUUGAUAAUGAUAAAAAUAAUAGUAAUUAUUAUUUUUAUUCGUGAAUAUCAAUUCUCAUAAAUUUAGCUUAUCGUGUUUGUGAUAAGAAUAAGAAUUUAAUUGAAUUUUUUAUAUUUACUUCAUUCAAAUCUAAUAAUUUGUUUCUUUUGAUCCUACUCACAACUGUUGUUGAACUGAUUAAUGGAUAAACUCCAUUUUAAUCUUAUCCAUUAGAGUAACUGCUGUUGCAAUUUUUGCUAAAACAGUUACAAAAUCUCUAUAUAAAUAGAGGACUCCACUCAGUUCAAAAAACACACCAAAGAGUUUCAUUGAAUUGUCGGGAACUCUUUCUCUCUUCUCCCUUUCUUGACUUGUGUUGACAAGUCUUUCUUUUCUUCAUCUCCUUUUUUCUGUUCCUUCGGAAUUAAAAGUGUUCUUAGGACCAUAGUUCCUUUUUUGGUUUAAUGUCCCUUCGGAACUAAGAACGGUCUUAAAAACAUAGUCCCUUCGAUAAUAUAUGUCCCUUCGGAAUAAAGAGUACUUUUAAGAUCAUAGUCCCUAUUUGAAAUAACAAUGUCCCGUCGAAAUUAAAAAUAAUCUUAAGGUUAUAUAAAAAUUAUUUCAAUAUAUUUCUAUUUGAGGAGAAAUGGUGGUAACACCAUAUUUGAGUGGUCUCAACACCAUAACAGAGUGGUAACAAUAUCAUAUUAAAGUGGUUUAAGUAUUAACGAGUGGUCUUAGUACCAUAUUUGAAGGUGUAAUUCUCGAACAGUUUUCUACAGUGCAGUAGUUAACCGCACAGUUGUAGAUGAAAUUGUUUUAUCCUGGAGGCGGCGUGGUUGAUAGUCUGUCUUGCACAAUUUUGGGCAGUGCCACGAAACGUCUUAAAGAGAACGACCUGGUCGUGAUUCAAGCUAGUAACAACUUUGAUAGAUAAUAGAAUUUGGAAAUCCAAAUACAACAGAUUGGAAAUCCAAAAACAACACUUUUCGUUCUCAUAUUUUACGAAUUUACAGUAGUCCAUUAAAAAGCAUUUCUUUCUUAUCUUUAGUAAAUCAUAGAAUUGAAAUAAACAAUUUUUUUGAUAACAUCACACCUCAUAACUCAUAAGAGAGUAACACUUUUUGAUUUUUUGAUAGACCUUUCUAUUUUAAGAAUGGAUUCCCUUAACUCUUUCUGAACACUUGACCUUGAAGGUGACAAAACAAAGUCAUUCCAAACAGAACCAGGUUCCAUUACUGGGCUAGGUUCCUUGUGAAGUUCAUAGAUGGAAUCAGCUUCAGUAUUCAAACUUGUUACAUUGUUCAAGCUUUUUAUGUCUUCAGGAUCCACUAAUAGAUUGUUAUCACCAUCCUUCCACCCAAUAAGCUGUUUUGUAUGAAAAAGAAAAUUACCCUCUUCACAUUUUACUACUAGUAAAGUGUAAAAUCAAUCACAAGAUAGAAAAAAAUGUUCAUGUACCUUUGGUGGGACCCCAACAUCAUUUGUGCAAUAGAGUCUGGCAUUAUCAACAAGUUUGCAAUAUCUUGGAAAUGCAUUAGCAAAUCUUUUGUGUGAUUUCAAUUGUGAAUUCACCCUCACUGCCCUCCUUGUCAUAAUAGCUCUCCUGUUAAAAUUCCAAUAGGAAAUGUUAACUAUAUCAUACACAAGAGAGGAAAUAGGUAUUUUAGUCUUUGAAAAUGUAAAGGUCGGUCAAUUUAGUCGCUCAAAUUUUUAAAAUAACAUUUUAGUCCUUGAAUUUAAAAAUAUCAACCGAUUUAGUCAUUUUCUAUAAUUUUGUAUCAGAAUUUUAAAGAUUCUAUGCUUGUUUUGAUGCAGGAAAAUACUACUUAAGUCAAUACUUACGUCUUCUAUUGUUCUUUACUAUAUAAAUAUUUUGAUGGAGGGAGUAGAUUGAUUGUUUUUCAAUUUAAGGGACUAAAAUGUUAUUUUGCAAAUAUGAGGGAUUAAAUGAUCAAGCCUUAUAAUUCCAAAUAGUAAAAUGCAUAUUUAAUCAAACCAAAAAACACACUACCAAAGUAUACUAUUAUAGUUGAAUCAUACCUAAUGCCUCUAAUAACUGCAUGAUAACCAUCACAAACGACACCAACUAGCUCAAUUCUAUAAGGCUUUUGAGUAUGAUGUUCUUCUGCCUCAUUCACUUGCUCCCAGUAAUUUUCAGUAAUUGUACCAUCCUCAUCUGGUCUAUACCCUACUCCCAUUCUGUAUUUAUAUUUGUGAACAUUUCUUGCCAUAGCAAUAGUCUGCUCGAAAAAAGGUUCCCAUGAUAAGGUACCGUCCAUGAUCACAUCUCGCCCUUUGUUUAGAGCCGUCACAAGUACAGAUGAUGCCGCAUCAGUGGAAGACUUAUGCACCUGUUCAGAUUUUGACAAGUUUAGAGCAUACUUUACAAUAGUAAUAUCACAUGAAGGUGUUCACACUGAAGCAU
rnacentral:lncRNA from 1 species